UUGAACUGAUUCAAGAGGACAUAUGCAAUUAUCUAUUUUCCCAACUUAUAAAUGACACAUUACAUUCAACAACUGAACUAGAAUAAAAACACUACUAAGAAGAGAAGUCAGAACGCAAAAUAUCCAGGCACAAAUCUCUGAUCAAUUCAUAUUUGCUUUUCCCCAAAUCAAGGCAAAAAGAGAAUGAAAAACAUAAGUGGACAAGUUUCAUGCUAUUGUUGCCCAAAAUAGCUUAUCCACACACAGAGUGCUGAAGAACAUCACUAGUCAGCAUCAAUAAGAUACUGACACCUACUUCCUUCAGAAAAGAUGGCAAAGACACUAGGAUACAACACCAUAAUACAUAUGAAACCUUACACUAAAGUUGCAAAAUUAUCCAUUCGUGGCCUAUAUACUCCCUAUCAGACUAUCACAAACAACAAACCAACAACUACAAUUCCAACAGAUUUCUGCUUCCAAAUGCUAGUCAACAGCACAGAAAAAAGGCUAGCAGUAGCAAACGAUCAAUUUGCAAUCUACAUACUUUACUUUCCAACUACAAUCAGGAUAACUGGAACAAUGUCACCUUGAAGUCCACACCAGGCUAUGCCUAGGCCGGCAACGGGAACCUCAUUCCAACCGAAAUGUGCAUGCACAUUGUGAGGCAUAAGGUGAAGAUGGCCAUGGACUUGGCGCUCAGGUACUUGACCGCGACAAGACCCCUUUCGGUGAUUUCAUCCCGGGCAAUGACAAUGCUCUUUCGUGCACCAGCGGACACGCGCUGAGUCGAGAACUCGAGGAAUGACCGGACCAUCUCGGCGGUGACCCUGCCAGUAACAUCCAGCACAAACCUCCGGUUGCUUGGCAUGGCCAACGUGGUCGAUACUCUCUCCAUUACACAGCUAGGACCUGAAUUGCAGACCUCUCGCGCCGCCACUGCUGCUUCAGCUAGAGAAAUGGAGGCCUCCUUUGUGACCUGCCGCGAGGUCCUGACAAACGUCUCGACGGCGCCGUUGCAGACGGACACGAGCAGGUCCUUGAGCUUGGCGUCGUGCUUGGGGUUAGAGACGCCGGCGAGCACCUGGUCGGAGGUGCGCACGGCGGCGGUCCUGUCGAGGUAGGCGGCGACGGCGGUGCUGACGAACACCCGGACGAGCUCCGCGGCGGCCUCCUUGCCCCUGUCGCUGCACAGCGCGGCGAGCCAGUCCGGCUGGCCGGGGGCGCGGGGCGGGGCCUCGGGAUCACGGCAGGAGAGCACGAGGUUCCUGGCGAAGCUCCCGAGGACGGCGGAGGCGAACCCGGCGCCGGCGGGGGAAAGGAGGCGGUCCAAGAUCCGGUCGUGCAGCGGCGGGGAGGAAGGAUCCGGGGCCCGGUGGGAGGAGAAGGCGCGGAGGGCCCCCGAGGCGAGCGACUCGGAGAGGGCGGAGGCGGCGGAGGAGACGUGGUCGGAGGCGGCGAGCUUGGAGAGCUGGCGCAGGCUGCGGGGCACCUGGUCGGAGUCGGAGCGGAGGAAGUCGGCCAGGUCGGAGCCGGCCUGCGAGAGCGCGUUGGCGAGGGAGAGCGCCGCGGCGAUGCGGCGGCGGUGGUGGAGGUAGAGGCGGUAGAGGCCGUAGCCGGCGGUGGCGGCGGUGGCGGCGGCCGCGCCGGCGAGGAGGCGGCGGCGGGUGGGGGCGGGCGCGAGAGCGUCCAUGGGCCGCGGCGAGGGGAGGGGAGAGUGCGGAGGCGUGCGCUAUCUCGCCGGCCCGCUCUCGGCCCGCGCCGUCGCCAUCGGCUGAUCUAGUCCAGUAGGAACAGGGGAGAGAGACGAGACUUGACCGAGCUCGACCCAGUCGUGCUGGCCACUAAGGGCAUCUCCAGCCGCGCCCCAGGAAAGCCUUCCAGACGAUUUUUUCACACCGGCGCCGAAAAAACGGCCCAGUCACGUCUCAGGAGUUCGAUUUUUGCCGGCUUGAGCCAAAAACAGCGUCGGCGGACCCAGACCGAAUCCGACGCGCUGGGGGCGCCCGGGGGCGCCGGGGCGAGCUGUUAACGAGCAGUGUCUUAUGAAACAUAUCUAUAAAAUAUUUUUUGGACCUGUAGAAAGAAGUAUCUUUGAUGCUAACUUUUAGUUUAAUCAUGUCAUUGGCAUGAUAUAAACAACAUUAUUGUGCAUGAACUUUCUCUCGAAGAAAUUAAAGUCCUCUUUUUGUGUGGAUCCCAGCCCUGAUGGAUUCCAAUCGAGUUCUAUCAACGUUUUGGCGACAUAGUUGAACAUCCUUUGAAGAAAUGUUUGAUUUUUGUCAAGGAAACCUUAAUGUUAAUAGAUUAAAUUAUGGAACCAUUCCUCUUAUCCCAAAACUACCUGGUGCUAAUAAGAUCCUUUAGUUUAGCCCUAUAUGUUCCCGCAAAAAAAGUUUAGCCCUAUAUGUUUCCUCAUUUCUGGUUCCAGGCUACUUACGAAAUAUGUUAAUAAUAGAAUGAAUGUUUGUGCUGAGGAGAUCAUCGAUCUAUCAUGGACUACUUUUCAUGAUAGGUGGAAAUAUCAUGGAUGGCAUUCUCACCUUGCAUGAAGUUGUACAUCGUGUGUCUAUUGAUAAACAAUCUGGAGUGUUUUUUUAUAUAAGUUGACUUUGAGAAAGCAUAUGAAUAUAUAGUGGGCUUUCCUUUGUAAAUUAUGAAGCUUAAAGAGCUCUCUGAUCCACAUAUUGACUUGAUGGUUUGUGUUAGAGCAUCUCCAAUAGAAGAUACAAAUUUGGAGAUGUAAAAAUUUACAUCUUCAAAAAGUGCCUUUUUGCAUCUUUAAAAAAGUGCCAACUCCAAUAGACGAUGCAAAACGGAGAUGUAAAACAGCUACUCCAACAGAAGAUGCAAACAAGGCAUGAGAGUAGCUAAACCAGUGCGGAGGCGAUUUUUCCCUCAAGUUAGGGUUCUUCUUUCUCCCGGAGGCGAUUUUUUGCCGCCGUCGAGAUCUUUUGCUCCCCUGCUGUCGAUCGACUCCAUCUGACUGGCUCGGAGCGACUUCGGGGCGAUCCUGGAUCGCCGCCCGCUCUUGGCCAGUUGCUGGGGUGCGAGAGUCUAGGGUUCCACCACCCGAAAUCCGAUCUGCAUCUCUUUCGGGUUAGUGAUAUCGAUGAAUUCGCCGGAGGCCUCUGGGUCUGGUGAAGUGGAUGAUAUGCAGCAGAUGAUGGCUGAAUUAGGACUGCAAGAGGAGGGCCUGGAUGACGUGGUGUUUGACGAGGAAGAAGCGCCGCCGGAGGCGGACAGGUGGAUAGCUCUGGCAAGGGUGAACACAACAAAAACCUACAUUCAAACUUGGUUCUACAGGAAUAUGGGAGAUGCGUGGGACAUAGCUCAAGAAGUCAAAUUCAAGCCGUUUGAGAACAAUCUAUACAGCGUCCAAUUCUCCUGUUUAGGGGAUUGGGAGAGAGUUAUGAAUGAUGGGCCCUGGAAUUUUAGAGGCGUUGCAGUGAUCUUGGCUUCGUAUGAUGGCAUCACAAAGCCCUUAACAAUUAAGCUUGAUACUCUGAAUAUCUGGGUAUAGAUACAUGAUGUACCAAAUUUAUAUGCUCAUCUGGUGAAGCCGCUUGCUGCCAAGGUGGGUGAGGUUCUGUUUGCUGAGUCAAACUUGCAUGACUUUGUAGGGAACUUCUAUCGAGUGUGGGUGGAAAUUGAUGUCAACAAGCCUCUGAAGAACGCAGUGUCAAUGAUCCGUGAUGGGAAACGACAGAUUUAUAGAGUGAAAUAUGAGAAACUACCUGAUUAGUGUGCGGUCUGUGGAAUGUUGGGGCAUCUGUAUAAAGAGCACGGUUCAAGAAAACCCCCACCCCCCUCGGCGCUUAUCUUCAAAGAGUUCCGGGCCUCCUGGUUCAUGCGUACGGGAUGGGGGUCAGGCGAUGAACGUGGUCGCAGAGGGGGCCGUCGGGCGGCCGAUCAAACGCAGGCAGGGGAGGUAAUGAAACUCCGCAUGGCGAGCACCACAGAGGUAACCAGAAUGAUCAGGUUGUGCAGGAGGCGACAGAACUUGGCAACGUAGAUAUGCUGGAUCAUAACAGAAAGCGCCCGGACAGACAUGACACCUUGGCUUUGGCUAACUCCAGAAAAGGGAUCAAUGCACAUCGAUUCCUGCCAUCGGCAGGUGAAAACUCGGCGAUGGUGCCAUUUGGAGUACCGCCUGUGAGCCCUCCCCCAAAGAGGAACCCGAAGAAAGCCAAGACCGGGACAGAGGAUUCAACAGAAAACAAGAUGGCAACAAUGGUGGGCUCCUUUGCGGGGCGCCGCCAAGCCCAAUGAAUGUUUUAUGCUGGAACUGCCGUGGCGCGGGCAAGCCCGCGGCAGUUUGUGAACUUCGCGAAUUCGCAAGGAAGUUUGCCCCCUUCGUGCUCUGCAUUGUAGAAACUCAAAUAAGUGGUGCACGUGUGGAAGCUUUAGCGGGUACUUUGGGAUAUGAGAAAUCUUAUGCAAUAAACAGUCAAGGUAGAAGCGGAGGGAUUGGUAUGUUAUGGAAUAACAGUAGCAAUAUCAAAAUCUUGGGUAACUCUUGUUACCAUAUUGACGCAAAGGUGCAGGAAGAAGGACAUGAUCCUUGGCGAAUCACAUGCGUCUACGGAGAAGCUCAAGCUCACCUCAGGGAUCAUACUUGGGAUGUGAUGAAGGGUAUAUCAACUAUGAGCACCCUGCCAUGGCUUUGCCUGGGUGAUUUCAAUGAAGUCUUACGUCCACUAGUAGAAAAUAGGGCUUUGGUUGGGGCCUGGCCAGCCCAUUAGUCCCGGUUCAGUCACGAACCGGGACCCAUGGGGGGCAUACGUCCCGGUUCGUGCGCCUAGGGGGCCAGCCGAGCCUCGGGAGGCAUUUGUCCCGGUUAGUGUGGACCCAUUUACCCCGGUUCUAGGCACAAACCGGGACCAAUGGUCCUCGCUCUUGGCCCACAGUCAUUGGUCCCGGUUCGUGCCUAGAACCAGGACAAAAGGGGGGCCUUUAGUCCCGGUUUUAGCCACGAACCGGGACCAAUGAGGUGGCUAUAUAUACCCCAUCUCCGCGGCAGAGCACUCCACAGUGCUUUGUUUUUUUCUGGCCGACGAGGGGAGAGCUUUGUGGUGCUCUAGCUCACCUCCUAUGCACAUGAGGUUUUUGUUGAAAUGCCCGAGCCACACUAGUUAAGCUUUCUCCUCUCGAAGCUCGACCUCCAAGCUCCAUUUUCCUCGAGAUUUGUCUAGGUUUAACGGUCUGUCACGUCCCGUCCCCGUCUUCUCCGCCAUCGAUCCCCCGCGCCAAUCUUGUCGCCGGCACCAUCAUGGUGAGCCUCUUGUUCUUAUCUUUUUCCUGAAAGAAAAAAUUCUUACUUUAGAUAGAUACUUGUCUAAUUUUCUUACUUUUAUUAUUGCUUGUUAUUAUAUAGUGCGAUGGUCUUGGUAUCCGCUCCCAUCGGCCCUCGUCCUGGCUAUGAUUCGGAUGUGGUAUAUAUUAUCUUUUAUAACUAUUUGGUUCAUUUAUUGUUUAUGACAAUUAUGCCGAACGAUGUGACAUAGAUUUUAUUUAUCUAGGAGGUAUGUGAACCGGAAAUUCCAACCGACCCUAUUGUCGAGAGGUUAAAUUUAGUUGAAGAAGAAAACAAUUACUUGAAGGAAAAAAUAAAAAAUUUGAGGAGGAGAAGAUGAUAUUGGAGUUGCGUGUUGAGGAUGUCGUCGAUGAUCACAAGAUCAAGAUGGAUGCAAUGCGGUUGAAGAUUAGAAAGAUUAGAAAAUAUGCCAUUCAUACUGAGGCUUGGUAUCAUUAUGUCGUUGGAUCAAUUGUUACCUUGGUUGUGAUUAUGAUCGCAUUUGUUGUUGCAUUGAAAGGUUUACAUAGUUUCAAUGUAUGGUUUAAUUAGAUGCUCUGGAGAGCUUUAUGUUGUUCAAUGAGAACUAUGUAUGUAGUUUGGUUUUAAUGUGAUGAUGAACUUCUAUUAAUUUGGUCACUUAUCUAUCCAUGUGAAUCUGUAAUGGUUUUUGACACAAAUAAUUAUAUAUAAUGCACGCAGAUGAACCAACAAUGGAUGUACGGUGAUAGACACACGUCCAAGUACAUUAAGGGCCUGCAUAAUUUUCUCGAAGUGGCUGAGGCAAACAAGCAGAAUGGUUUUAUGUGUUGUCCAUGCCCUAUAUGUGGGAAUACAAAGUCUUACUCUGACCGGAAAAUCCUUCACACCCACCUGCUUUAUAAGGGUUUCAUGCCACACUAUAAUGUUUGGACCAAGCAUGGAGAAUUAGGGGUUAUGAUGGAAGACAACGAAGAAGAAGAGGACGAUGACAACUAUGUGCCCCUGAAUACUGUGAUGCUACAACGGGGGAAGCUGCUGAAGAUCAAGAGGAACCAGACGAUGUGCCCGAUGAUGAUGAUCUCCGCCGGGUCAUUGUUGAUGCAAGUGUUGGAAAUAUGCCCUAGAGGCAAUAAUAAAUUGGUUAUUAUUAUAUUUCCUUGUUCAUGAUAAUCGUUUAUUAUCCAUGCUAUAAUUGUAUUGAUAGGAAACUCAGAUACAUGUGUGGAUACAUAGACAACACCAUGUCCCUAGUAAGCCUCUAGUUGACUAGCUCGUUGAUCAAUAGAUGGUUACGUUUUCCUGACCAUGGACAUUGGAUGUCGUUGAUAACGGGAUAACAUCAUUAGGAGAAUGAUGUGAUGGAAAAGACCCAAUCCUAAGCCUAGCACAAAGAUCAUGUAGUUCGUAUGCUAAAGCUUUUCUAAUGUCAAGUAUCAUUUCCUUAGACCAUGAGAUUGUGCAACUCCCAGAUACCGUAGGAAUACUUUGGGUGUGCCAAAUGUCACAACGUAACUAGGUGGCUAUAAAGGUACACUACAGGUAUCUCUGAAAGUGUCUGUUGGGUUGGCACGAAUCAAGACUGGGAUUUGUCACUCCGUGUGACGGAGAGGUAUCUCUGGGCCCACUCGGUAGGACAUCAUCAUAAUGUGCACAAAGUGACCAAGGAGUUGAUCACGGGAUGAUGUGUUACGGAACGAGUAAAGAGACUUGCCAGUAACGAGAUUGAACAAGGUAUCGGGAUACCGACGAUCGAAUCUCGGGCAAGUACAAUACCGCUAGACAAAGGGAAUUGAAUACGGGAUUGAUCGAAUCCUCGACAUCGUGGUUCAUCCGAUGAGAUCAUCGUGGAACAUGUGGGAACCAACAUGGGUAUCCAGAUCCCGCUGUUGGUUAUUGACCGGAGAACGUCUCGGUCAUGUCUGCAUGGUUCCCGAACCCGUAGGGUCUACACACUUAAGGUUCGAUGACGCUAGGGUUAUAAGGAAUAGAUAUAUGUGGUUACCGAAUGUUGUUCGGAGUCCCGGAUGAGAUCCCGGACGUCACGAGGAGUUCCGAAAUGGUCCGGAGGUAAAGAUUUAUAUAUGGGAAGUCCAGUUUUGGUCGCCGGAAAAGUUUCGGGGUUUAUCGGUAACGUACCGGGACCACCGGGAGGGUCCCGGGGGUCCACCAAGUGGGGCCANNNNNNNNNNNNNNNNNNNNNNNNNNNNNNNNNNNNNNNNNNNNNNNNNNNNNNNNNNNNNNNNNNNNNNNNNNNNNNNNNNNNNNNNNNNNNNNNNNNNNNNNNNNNNNNNNNNNNNNNNNNNNNNNNNNNNNNNNNNNNNNNNNNNNNNNNNNNNNNNNNNNNNNNNNNNNNNNNNNNNNNNNNNNNNNNNNNNNNNNNNNNNNNNNNNNNNNNNNNNNNNNNNNNNNNNNNNNNNNNNNNNNNNNNNNNNNNNNNNNNNNNNNNNNNNNNNNNNNNNNNNNNNNNNNNNNNNNNNNNNNNNNNNNNNNNNNNNNNNNNNNNNNNNNNNNNNNNNNNNNNNNNNNNNNNNNNNNNNNNNNNNNNNNNNNNNNNNNNNNNNNNNNNNNNNNNNNNNNNNNNNNNNNNNNNNNNNNNNNNNNNNNNNNNNNNNCCAAGGCCCAAGGCACAAGGGAGAGUGGAAGGGGGCAAACCCUAGGCUCAGAUGGGCCUAAGGCCCACCUAGUGGUGCGCCCCCCUCUCUCCCCCCUUGGCCGCCCCCUUAGAUGGGAUCUAGGCUGGCCGCCACCCCUAGGGGUGGAAACCCUAGGUGGGGCGCAGCCCCUUCCCUUCCCCUAUAUAUACUUGAGGUUUGGGCUGCCCAUCACACAUGAAUUCUUCCCCUGUUGGUGCAGCCCUACCCCUCUUCCUCCUCGUCUCUUGCGAUGCUUGGCGAAGCCCUGCUGGAGUACCACGCUCCUCCACCACCACCACACCGUUGUGCUGCUGCUGGAUGGAGUCUUCCUCAACCUCUCCCUCUCUCUCCUUGCUGGAUCAAGGCAUGGGAGACGUCACCGGGCUGUACGUGUGUUGAACGCGGAGGUGCCGUCCGUUCGGCACUAGGAUCUCCGGUGAUUUGGAUCACGACGAGUACGACUCCUUCAACCCGUUCUCUUGAACGCUUCCGCAUAGCGAUCUACAAGGGUAUGUAGAUGCACUCUCCUCCCCUCGUUGCUGGUUUCUCCAUAUAUAGAUCUUGGUGACACGUAGGAAAAUUUUGAAUUUCUGCUGCAUUCCCCUACAGUGGUAUCAGAGCUAGGUCUAUUGCGUAGAUUCUAUGCACGAGUAGAACACAAAGUAGUUGUGGGCAUUGAUUUUGUUCAAUAUGCUUACCGUUACUAGUCCAAUCUUGAUUCGGCGGCAUUGUGGGAUGAAGCGGCCCGGACCGACCUUACACGUACUCUUAUGUGAGACUGGUUCCACCGACUGACAUGCACUAGUUGCAUAAGGUGGCUAGCGGGUGUCUGUCUCUCCCACUUUAGUCGGAUCGGAUUCGAUGAAAAGGGUCCUUAUGAAGGGUAAAUAGCAAUUGGCAUAUCACGUUGUGGUUUUUGCAUAGGUAAGAAACAUUCUUGCUAGAAACCCAUAGCAGCCACGUAAAACAUGCAAACAACAAUUAGAGGAUGUCUAACUUGUUUUUGCAGGGUAUGCUAUGUGAUGUGAUAUGGCCAAGAAGAAUGUGAUGAAUGAUAUGUGAUGUAUGAGAUUCAUCAUGUUCUUGUAAUAGGAAUCACGACUUGCAUGUCGAUGAGUAUGACAACUGGCAGGAGCCAUAGGAGUUGUCUUUAUUAAUUGUAUGACUUGCGUGUCAUUGAACAACGCCAUGUAAUUACUUUACUUUAUUGCUAACCGGUAGCCAUAGUAGUAGAAGUAAUAGUUGGCGAGCAACUUCAUGGAGACACGAUGAUGGAGAUCAUGGUGUCAUGCCGGUGACAAGAUGAUCAUGGAGCCCCAAGAUGGAGAUCAAAGGAGCUAUAUGAUAUUGGCCAUAUCAUGUCACUAUUAUUUGAUUGCAUGUGAUGUUUAUCAUGUUUUUGCAUCUUGUUUACUUAGAACGACGGUAGUAAAUAAGAUGAUCCCUCAUAAUAAUUUCAAGAAGGUGUUCCCCCUAACUGUGCACCGUUGCGACAGUUCGUUGUUUCGAAGCACCACAUGAUGAUCGGGUGUGAUAGAUUCUAACGUUCACAUACAAUGGGUGUAAGACAGAUUUACACACGCGAAACACUUAGGUUGACUUGACGAGCCUAGCAUGUACAGACAUGGCCUCGGAACACAAGAGACCGAAAGGUCGAGCAUGAGUCGUAUGGUAGAUACGAUCAACAUGAAGAUGUUCAUCGAUGAUGACUGGUCCAUCUCACGUGAUGAUCGGACACGGCCUAGUUGACUCGGAUCAUGUAAUCACUUAGAUGACUAGAGGGAUGUCUAUCUGAGUGGGAGUUCACAAGAUGAACUUAAUUAUCCUGAACAUAGUCAAAAGGUCUUCGCAAAUUAUGUCGAAGCUCGCGCUUUAGUUCCACUGUUUAGAUAUGUUCCUAGAGAAAAUUUAGUUGAAAGUUGGUAGUAGCAAUUAUGCGGACUAGGUCCGUAAACUGAGGAUUGUCCUCAUUGCUUCAUAGAAGGCUUAUAUCCUUAAUGCACCGCUCAAUGUGCUGAACCUCGAACGUCGUCUGUGGAUGUUGCGAACAUCUGACAUACACAUUUUGAUAACUACGUGAUAGUUCAGUUAAACGGUUUAGAAUUGAGGCACCGAAGACGUUUUUGAAACGUUGCGAAACAUAUGAGAUGUUUCGAGGGCUGAAAUUGGGAUUUCAGGCUCGUGCCCACGUCAAGAGGUAUAAGACCUCCGACGAUUUUCUUAGCCCACAAACUAAGGGAGAAAAGCUCAAUUGUUGAGCUUGUGCUCAGAUUGUCUGAGUACAACAAUCAUUUGAAUCGAGUGGGAGUUGAUCUUCCAGAUGAGAUAGUGAUGUUUCUCCAAAGUCAUUACCACCAAGCUGCUAGAGCUUCGUGAUGAACUAUAAUAUAUCAAGGACAUAUAUGAUGAUCCUUGAGAUAUUCACGAUGUUUGUAGAAAUCAAGAAGGAGCAUCAAUUGUUGAUGGUUGGUGAAACCACUAGUUUCAAGAAGGGCAAGGGCAAGAAAGGGAUACUUCAUGGAACAACAAAUCAGUUGCUGUUCUAGUGAAGAAACCCAAAGUUGAACCCAAGCCCGAGACUAAGUGCUUCUGUAAUAAAGGGAACAACCACUGGAGCAGAAUUACCCUAGAUACUUGGUAGAUGAGAAGGCUGGCAAAGUCGAUAGAAGUAUAUUGGAUAUACAUUGUGUUAAUGUGUACUUUACUAGUACUCCUAGUAGCACCAGGGUAUUAGAUACCGGUUCGGUUGCUAAGUGUUAGUAACUCGAAAUAAAAGCUACGGAAUAAACGGAGACUAGAUAAAGGUGAGAUGACGAUAUGUGUUGGAAGUAUUUCCAAGGUUGAUCAAAUAUCGUACGCUCCCUCUAUCAUCGAGAUUGGUGUUUGCGUUGAGCAUAGACAUGAUUGGAUUAUGUCUAUCGCAAUACUGUUAUUCAUUUAAGGAGAAUAAUGGUUACUCUGUUUAUUUGAAUAAUACCUUCAAUGGUCUUACACCUAAAAUGAAUGGUUUAUUGAAUCUCGAUCGUAGUGAUACACAUGUUCAUGCCAAAAGAUAGUAAUGAUAGUACCACCUACUUGUGGCACUGCCACGUAAGUCAUAUCGGUAUAAAACGCAUGAAGAAGCUCCAUGUUGAUGGAUCUUUGGGCUCACUCGUUUUUGAAAAGUUUGAGACAUGCAAACCAUGUCUAUUGGUGUAUAUGCAUGAAGAAACUCCAUGCAAAUGGACCGUUUGGACUCACUUGAUUUUGAAUCACUUGAGACAUGCAAAUCAUACCACAUGGGCAAGAUGACUGAAAGCCUCGUUUUCAGUAAAAUGGAACUAGAAAGCAACUUGUUGGAAGUAAUAAAUUUUGAUGUGUGCAGUCCAAUGAGUGCUGAGGCAUGUAGUGGAUAUCGUUAUGUUUCUUACUUCACAGAUGAUUUGAGUAGAUGUUGAGUAUAUUUACUUGAUGAAUCACGAGUCUGAAUUAUUGAAAGGUUCAAGUAAUUUCAGGGUGAAGUUGAAAGAUCGUCGUGACAAGAGGAUAAAAUAUCUAUGAUAUGAUCAUAGAGAUGAAUAUCUGAAUUACGAGUUUGGCACAGAAUUAAGACAUUGUGGAAAUUGUUUCACAACUAAUACAGCCUGGAACACCAUAGUGUGAUGGUGUGUCCGAACAUCAUAACUGCACCCUAUUGGAUAUGAUGCAUACCAUGAUGUCUCUUAUCGAAUUACCACGAUAGUUUAUGGGUUAGGCAUUAGAGACAACCGCAUUCACUUUAAAUAGGGCACCACGUAAUUCCGAUGAGAUGACACCGUAUGAACUAUGGUUUAGAGAAACCUAAGCUGUCAUUUCUUAAAAGUUUGGGGCUGCGACGCUUAUGUGAAAAAAAAGUUUCAGGCUGAUAAGCUCGAACCCAAAGCGGAGAAAUGCAUCUUCAUAGGACACCCAAAACAGUUGGGUAUACCUCCUGUCCCAGAUCCGAAAGCAAUAAGGGAUUGUUUCUAGAAUCGAGUCCUUUCUCGAGGAAAAGUUUCUCUCGAAAGAAUUGAGUGGGAGGAUGGUGGAGACUUGAUAAGGUUGUUGAACCGUCUCUUCAACUAGUGUGUGACAGGGCACAGGAAGUUGUUCCUGUGGCACCUACACCAAUUGAAGUGGAAGCUUAUGAUAGUGAUCAUGAAACUUCAGAUCAAGUCACUACCAAACCUCGUGGGAUGACAAGGAUGCGUACUACUUCAGAGUGGUACGUAAUCCUGUCUUGGAAGUCAUGUUGCUAGACAACAAUGAACCUACGAGCCAUGGAGAAGCGAUGGUGGGCCCGGAUUCCGAUAAAUGGCUCGAGGCCAUAAAAUCCGAGAGAGGAUCCAUGUAUGAAAACAAAGUGUAGACUUUGGCAGAACGGCUCGAUGGUCGUAAGGCUAUUGAGUACAGAUGGAUUUUAAAAGGAAGACGGACAAUGAUGGUAAGUAUCACCAUUAAGAAAGCUCGACUUGUCAUUAAGAUUGUUUCCGACAAGUUCAAGGAGUUGACUAUGAUGAGACUUUCUCACUCGUAGCGAUGCUAAGAGUCUGUUGGAAUUAUAUUAGCGAUUACUGCAUAAUUUAUGAAAUCUUGCAGAUAGGAUGUCAAAACAUUGUUUCCUCGACGAUUUUCUUGAGGAAAGGUUGUAUGUGAUACAACCGGAAGGUUUUGUCAAUCCUGAAAGAUGCUAAUAAGUAUGCAAAGCUCCAGCAAUCCUUCUAAGGACUGGAGUAAGCAUCUCGGAGUUGGAAUGUAUGCUUUGAUGAGACAAUCAAAGAUUUUGGGUGUAUACAAAGUUUAUGAGAAACUUGUAUUUCCAAAGAAGUGAGUGGGAGCACUAUAUAAUUUCUGAUGAGUAUAUGUUGUUGACAUAUUGUGGAUCAGAAAUGACGUAGAAUUUCUGGAAAGCAUAUAGGGUCAUUUGAAAGGUGUUUUUCAAUGGAAAACCUGGAUUAAGCUACUUGAACAUUAAGCAUCAAGAUCUAUAAGGAUAGAUCAAAAACGCUUAAUGGUACUUUCAAAUGAGCACAUACCUUGACAUGAUCUUGAAGGUGUUCAAGAUGGAUCAGCCAAAGAAGGAGUUCUUGCCUGAGUUGUAAGGUAUGAAGUUAAGACUUAAAGCUUGACCACGGCAGAAGAAAGAGGAAGGACGAAGGUCGUCCCCUAUGCUUUUGUCAUAGGCUCUAUACGGUAUGCCAUGCUAAGUACCGCACCUGAUGUGUGCCUUGCCACAUGUCUAGCAAGAGGGUACAAAGGUGAUCCAGGAGUUGAUCACUAGAUAGCGGUCAAAAAUUGUCCUUGGAGUAAUAAGGACAUGUUUCUAGAUUAUGGAGGUGAUAAAGAGUUCGGCGUAAAGGGUUACAUCGAUGCAAGCUUUAACACCUAUCCGAAUGACUCUAAGUAGCAAACCGGAUACGUAUAGUGGAGCAACCAUUUGGAAUAGCUCCAAGUGGAGCGUGGAAGCAGCAUUUAUAAUAUGACCUAGAGAUUUGCGAAGUACAUACGAUCUGAAUGUUGCAGACCCGUUGACUAGAACCUCUCUCACAAGCAAAACAUGAUCAAACCCAGAACUCGUUGAGUCUUAAUCACAUGAUGAUGUGAACUAGUUUAGUGACACUAGUAAACUCUUUGGAUGUUGGUCUCAUGGCGAUGUGACCUGUGAGUGUUAAUCACAUGGCGAUGUAAACUAGAUUAUUGACUCUAGUGCAAGUGGGAGACUGUUGGAAAUAUGCCCUAGAGGCAAUAAUAAAUUGGUUAUUAUUAUAUUUCCUUGUUCAUGAUAAUCAUUUAUUAUCCAUGCUAUAAUUGUAUUGAUAGGAAACUUAGAUACAUGUGUGGAUACAUAGACAACACCAUGUCCCUAGUAAGCCUCUAGUUGACUAGCUCGUUGAUCAAUAGAUGGUUAUGGUUUCCUGACCAUGGACAUUGGAUGUCGUUGAUAACGGGAUCACAUCAUUAGGAGAAUGAUGUGAUGGACAAGACCCAAUCCUAAGCCGAGCACAAAGAUCGUGUAGUUCGUAUGCUAAAGCUUUUCUAAUGUCAAGUAUCAUUUCCUUAGACCAUGAGAUUGUGCAACUCCCGGAUACCGUAGGAAUACUUUGGGUGUGCCAAACGUCACAAUGUAACUGGGUGGCUAUAAAGGUACACUACAGGUAUCUCCGAAAGUGUCUGUUGGGUUGGCACGAAUCGAGACUGGGAUUUGUCACUCCGUGCGACGGAGAGGUAUCUCUGUGCCCACUCGGUAGGACAUCAUCAUAAUGUGCACAAAGUGACCAAGGAGUUGAUCACCAGAUGAUGUGUUACGGAACGAGUAAAGAGACUUGCCAGUAACGAGAUUGAACAAGGUAUCGGGAUACCAACGAUCGAAUCUCGGGCAAGUACAAUACCGCUAGACAAAGGGAAUUGAAUACGGGAUUGAUCGAAUCCUCGACAUCAUGGUUCAUCCGAUGAGAUCAUCGUGGAACAUGUGGGAACCAACAUGGGUAUCCAGAUCCCAUUGUUGGUUAUUGACCGGAGAACGUCUCGGUCAUGUCUGCAUGGUUCCCGAACCCGUAGGGUCUACACACUUAAGGUUCGAUGAUGCUAGGGUUAUAAGGAAUAGAUAUAAGUGGUUACCGAAUGUUGUUCGGAGUCCCGGAUGAGAUCCCGGACGUCACGAGGAGUUCCGGAAUGGUCCGGAGGUAAAGAUUUAUAUAUGGGAAGUCUAGUUUUGGUCGUCGGAAAAGUUUCGGGGUUUAUCGGUAACGUACCGGGACCACCGGGAGGGUCCCGGGGGUCCACCAAGUGGGGCCACCAGCCCCGGAGGGUGCAUGGGCCAAGUGUGGGAGGGGACCAGCCCCAGGUGGCUGGUGCGCCCCCCACCAAGGCCCAAGGCGCAAGGGAGACUGGAAGGGGGCAAACCCUAGGCUCAGAUGGGCCUAAGGCCCACCUAGUGGUGCGCCCCCCUCUCUCCCCCCUUGGUCGCCCCCCUUAGAUGGGAUCUAGGCUGGCCGCCACCCCUAGCGGUGGAAACCCUAGGUGGGGCGCAGCCCCUUCCCUUCCCCUAUAUAUACUUGAGGUUUGGGCUGCCCAUCACACAUGAAUUCUUCCCCUGUUGGUGCAGCCCUACCCCUCUUCCUCCUCGUCUCUUGCGAUGCUUGGCGAAGCCCUGCUGGAGUACCACGCUCCUCCACCACCACCACGCCAUUGUGCUACUGCUGGAUGGAGUCUUCCUCAACCUCUCCCUCUCUCCUUGCUGGAUCAAGGCAUGGGAGACAUCACCGGGCUGUACGUGUGUUGAACGCGGAGGUGCCGUCCGUUCGGCACUAGGAUCUCCGGUGAUUUGGAUCACGACAAGUACAACUCCUUCAACCCGUUCUCUUGAACGCUUCCGCAUAGCGAUCUACAAGGGUAUGUAGAUGCACUCUCCUUCCCCUCGUUGCUGGUUUCUCCAUAGAUAGAUCUUGGUGACACAUAGGAAAAUUUUGAAUUUCUGCUGCGUUCCCCUACAGCAAGGACACAGUGCGAAAGUCAAAAGGAGAAGCUGAAGUUCGAUUGCAUGUUAGAGGAUCACAAAAAAGGGUUGUACCCCAAUUGCGAAGAUGGCAACACAAAGCUCGGUACCAUACUGGAAUUGCUGCAGUGGAAGGCAGAGAAUGUUGUGCCUGACAAAGGAUUUGAGAAGCUACUGAAAAUAUUGAAGAAGAAGCUUCCAAAGGAUAACGAAUUGCCCGACAGUAUGUACGCAACAAAGAAGGUCGUAUGCCCUCUAGGAUUGGAGGUGCUGAAGAUACAUGCAUGCCCUAAUGACUUCAUCCUCUACCGCAGUGUGUACGAGGAUUUGAACACAUACCCGGUAUGUGGUGCAUUGCGGUAUAAGAUCAGACGAGAUGAGCCUGGCGAUGUUGACGGCGAGCCCCCAGGAAGAGGGUUCCUGCAAAGGUGAUGUGGUAUGCUCCUAUAAUACCACGGUUGAAACGUCUGUUCAGAAACGAAGAGCAUGCCAAGUUGAUGCGAUGGCACAAAGAGGACCGUAAGAAAGACGGGAAGUUGAGAGCACCCGCUGAUAGGUCGCAGUGGAGAAAAAUCAAGAGAAAGUACUAGGCCGUGUUUGCAGGUGACCCAAGGAACGUAUGGUUUGGUUUAAGCGCGGAUGACAUUAAUCCUUUCGGGGAGCAGAGCAGCAGUCACAGCACCUGGCCAGUGACUCUAUGUAUGUAUAACCUUCCUCCUUGGAUGUGCAUGAAGUGGAAGUUCAUUAUGCAGCCAGUUCUCAUCCAAGGCCCUACAUAACCCGGCAACGACAUUGAUGUGUACCUAAGGCCAUUAGUUGAAGAACUUUUAUAGCUGCGGAAUGGAAACGGUGUACGUGUGUGGGAUGGGCACAAAUAGGAGGAAUUUAACCUACACGCGUUGUUGUUUGUAACCAUCAACGAUUGGCCCACUCUCAAUAACCUUUCAGGACAGACAAACAAGGGAUACCACGCAUGCACGCAUGCGGAGGCCACCCCAAACCCUUGAAGCGUUGCUAAGGCCACCCCGAACCCUAGAGAAGCAUCGAGGCCACUAAUAGGAUUCCUUGUUGUGAUUAGCUAGCUAGGUCUAUGUUUGCCACUAAUAUAUCCAUCUGUCAUGUUUGUAUAAUAAUUGUCAUGUUGUAAUAUUUGCAGAAACUAUGGAGCACAGCCGAGACAAGGAAGCAGACCAGGUGUUGGGGUACAUAAUCGCAGCCAGAGCUGAUGUCUUGUCGUAUCUCAACGACACCGAUGGUCUAGAAGGACAGGGUGAAGAAGCAGGCUACGGUUAUCGAACAAUGGAGGAGGAAGGACAUGAUUAUGAUGGCUCCGGUGACCGAAUGUCGGUGGAAGAAGGACACUGUGAUGACGGCUCCGGUGACCGAACGGAGUCCGGCCAGGUAUAUAUAUAUUAAUUAAUUAAGCAUGUGCUGACUAUAGCUAAUUGAUGCAUUAAUUGUUUUGUUAUGUACACAUAUUAACUCUCUUCUUUCUUCUUUUCUAGCCCUCCGAAUCGAGCAACCCUUUGGUAACGAGACGAGGCCCGAAGAAAAAGUUGCGCCAGGAUGAAAGGUUCAUGAUCACAGCAAUCGCGCGCGAUGGCCAAUCGAUUGAACCCAUCCGGACCAAGGAAGCAUUUUCUACUCAGUGCGGGGUUCUUGUUAGGGACAUGAUCCCGAUCAGCAUCCACCAAUGGUAUAUGCCUAAGAACGAAGACCCUGAGGUGUCUUAUGUCAACGAUAGGCAGAAAGAUGAUCUUUGGGCCGCGCUGAAGGCAAAUUUCACCCUGCCGCCAGAGGAGGAUCUGGAGAAGCCAGUUAAAGAGCCAUUGGUCAAGUCUCAUGCUCUUAAGAAGAUGGCAGAUCUAUUCAGGAGGUGGAAGAAUGAGCUGAAAACAAAGUUUGUCGACAAAGAAAAGACACUAGAAUUCACCGGCCGGUUUGAGAAGAUCAGAGAUCACUGGGACGCAUUUGUGGCCCACAAGACAUCGAACAAGAGUAAGAAGAUAUCAGCGACAAACAAGAUAAAUGAUGUGAAGAAGGAGCAUCACCAUCGCAUGGGGUCAGGUGGCUACCUCAAAGCCCGGCCGUUGUGGGCAAAGGCUGAGAAUGACCUGCUUGAUAAAGGGGUCGAACCAGAUGUUGGGGAACGUAGUAAUUUCAAAAAAAAUCCUACGCACACGCAAGAUCAUGGUGAUGCAUAGCAACAAGAGGGGAGAGUGUCGUCCACAUACCCUCGUAGACCGUUAAGCGGAAGCGUUACAACAACGCGGUUAAUGUAGUCAUACAUCUUCACGAUCGAUCGAUCCUCAUCACCGAAUGUACGGCACCUCUGCGUCCAUCACACGUUCAGCUUGGUGACGUCCCGCGAACUCACGAUCCAGUAGAGCUCGGGGAAGAGUUUCGUCAGCACGAUGGCGUGGUGACGAUGUUGAUGAAGCUACUGACGCAGGGCUUCGCCUAAGCAGCGCUAAGAUAUAACCGAGGUGGAUUAUGGUGGAGGGGGGCACUGCACACGGCUAAGAGAUCAACAGAUCAAUUGUUGUGUCUAUGGGGUGCCCCCUACCCCCGUAUAUAAAGGAUCUAGGGGGAGGUGCUACCUCUUGAGAACUUGCGUUGGUUUUCCCUUGAAGAGGAAAGGGUGAUGCAGCAGAGUAGCGUAAGUAUUUCCCUCAGUUUUUGAGAACCAAGGUAUCAAUCCAGUAGUAGGCCACGCACGAGUCCCUCGCACCUACACAAAAAAAUAAAUCCUCGCAACCAACGCGAUAAGGGGUUGUCAAUCCCUACAUGGUCACCUACGAGCGUGAGAUCUGAUAGAUAUUAUAAGAUAAUAUUUUUGGUAUUUUUAUGAUAAAUAGAAAUAAAAGAUGCAAAGUAAAAUAAAUGGCAAAGGAAAUAACUAAAUAUUGGAAGAUUAAUAUGAUGGAAGAUAGACCCGGAGGCCAUACGUUUCACUAGUGGCUUCUCUCAAGAGCAUAAGUAUUCACGGUGGGUAAACAAAUUACUCUUGAGCAAUUGACAGAAUUGAGCAUAGUUAUGAGAAUAUCUAGGUAUGAUCAUGUAUAUAGGCAUCACGUCCGAGACAAGUAGACCGACUCCUGCCUGCAUCUACUACUAUUACUCCACACAUCGACCGCUAUCCAGCAUGCAUCUAGAGUAUUAAGUUCAAGAGAACAGAGUAACGCUUUAAGCAAGAUGACAUGAUGUAGAGGGAUAAACUCAUGCAAUAUGAAGUAAACCCCAUCUUGUUAUCCUCGAUGGCAACAAUACAAUACGUGCCUUGCUGCCCCUACUGUCACUGGGAAAGGACACCACAAGAUUGAACCCAAAGCUAAGAACUUCUCCCAUUGCAAGAAAGAUCAAUCUAGUAGGCCAAACCAAACUGAUAAUUCGAAGAGACUUGCAAAGAUAACCAAUCAUACAUAAAAGAAUUCAGAGAAAAUUCAAAUAUUGUUCAUAAGUAAACUUGAUCAUAAACCCACAAUUCAUCGGUCUCAACAAACACACCGCAAAAGAAGAUUACAUCGAAUAGAUCUCCACAAGAGAGGGGGAGAACUUUGUAUUGAGAUCCAAAAAGAGAGAAGAAGCCAUCUAGCUAAUAACUAUGGACCUGUAGGUCUGAGGUAAACUACUCACACUUCAUCGGAGAGGCUAUGGUGUUGAUGUAGAAGCCCUCCAUGAUCGAUGCCCCCUCCGGCGGAGCUCCGGAACAGGCCCCAAGAUGGGAUCUUGUGGAUACAUAAAGUUACGGCAGUGGAAUUAGGGUUUUGGCUCCGUAUCUGGUAGUUUGGGGUACGUAGGUAUAUAUAGGAGGAAGGAGUACGUCNNNNNNNNNNNNNNNNNNNNNNNNNNNNNNNNNNNNNNNNNNNNNNNNNNNNNNNNNNNNNNNNNNNNNNNNNNNNNNNNNNNNNNNNNNNNNNNNNNNNNNNNNNNNNNNNNNNNNNNNNNNNNNNNNNNNNNNNNNNNNNNNNNNNNNNNNNNNNNNNNNNNNNNNNNNNNNNNNNNNNNNNNNNNNNNNNNNNNNNGGGGAUAGGUGCGCCCCCUACCUCGUGGCCUCCUGGUUGAUGUCUUGACGUAGGGUCCAAGUCCUCUGGAUCAUGUUCGUUCCGAAAAUCACGUUCCCGAAGGUUUCAUUCCGUUUGGAUUCCAUUUGAUAUUCUUUUUCUGCGAAACCCUAAAAUAGGCAAAAAAACAACAAUUCUGGGCUGGGCCUUCGGUUAAUAGGUUAGUCCCAAAAAUAAUAUAAAAGUGUAUAAUAAAGCCCAAUAAUGUCCAAAACAGAAUAUAAUAUAGCAUGGAACAAUCAAAAAUUAUAGAUACGUUGGAGACGUAUCAAGCAUCCCCAAGCUUAAUUCCUGCUCGUCCUCGAGUAGGUAAAUGAUAAAAAUAGAAUUUUGAUGUGGAAUGCUACUUGGCAUAAUUUCAAUGUAAUUCUCUUAAUUGUGGUAUGAAUAUUCAGAUCCGAAAGAUUCAAGACAAAAGUUUAAUAUUGACAUAGAAAUAAUAAUACUUCAAGCAUACUAACUAAGCAAUUAUGUCUCUUCAAAAUAACAUGGCCAAAGAAAGUUAUCCCUACAAACUCAUAUAGUCUGGCUAUGCUCCAUCUUCACCACACAAAGUAUUCAAAUCAUGCACAACCCCGAUGAGAAGCCAAGCAAUUGUUUCAUACUUUUGGUGUUCUCAAACUUUUUCAAUCUUCAUGCAAUACAUGAGCGUGAGCCAUGGACAUAGCACUUUAGGUGGAAUAGAAUGGUGGUUGUGGAGGAGACAAAAAGGGGAAGAUAGUCUCACAUCAACUAGGCGUAUCAACGGGCUAUGGAGAUGCCCAUCAAUAGAUAUCAAUGUGAGUGAGUAAGGAUUGUCAUGAAACGGAUGCACUAGAGCUAUAAGUAUAUGAAAGCUCAACAAAAGGAACUAAGUGGGUGUGCAUCCAACUCGCUUGCUCACGAAGACCUGGGGCAUUUUGAGGAAGCCUGUCAUUGGAAUAUACAAGCCAAGUUCUAUAAUGAAAAAUUCCCACUAGUAUAUGAAAGUGAUAACAUAGGAGACUCUCUAUUAUGAAGAUCAUGGUGCUACUUUGAAGCACAAGUGUGGUAAAAGGACAGUAGCAUUGUCCCUUCUCUCUUUUUCUCUCAUAUUUUUUUUAUUUGGGCAUUUUUAUGGCCUCUUUUUUCGUCCGGAGUCUCAUCCCGACUUGUGGGGGAAUCAUAGUCUCCAUCAUCCUUUCCUCACUUGGGACAAUGCUCUAAAAAUGAUCAUCACACUUUUAUUUACUUACAACUCAACAAUUACAACUCAAUACUUAGAACAAAAUAUGACUCUAUGUGAAUGCCUCCGGCUGUGUACCGGGAUAUGCAAUGAAUCAAGAGUGACAUGUAUGAAAGAAUUAUGAACGGUAGCUUUGCCACAAAUACAAUGUCAACUACAUGAUCAUGCAAAGCAAUAUGACAAUGAUGGAGCGUGUCAUAGUAAACGGAAUGGUGGAAAGUUGCAUGGCAAUAUAUCUCAGAAUGGCUAUGGAAAUGCCAUGAUAGGUAGGUAUGGUGGCUGUUUUGAGGAAGGUAUAUAGUGGGUGUAUGAUACCGGCGAAAGGUGGGCGGUAUUAGAGAGGCUAGCAAUGGUGGAAGGAAGAAAAGUGUGUAUGGUCCAUGGACUCAUCCUUAGUCAUAAAGAACUCAUAUACUUAUUGCAAAAACCUACAAGUUAUCAAAGCAAAGUAUUACACGCAUGCUCCUAGGGGGAUAGAUUGGUAGGAAAAGACCAUCGCUCGUCCCCGAUCGACACUCAUAAGGAAGACAAUCAAUAAAUAAAUCAUGCUCCGACUUCAUCACAUAAUGGUUCACCAUACGUGCAUGCUACGGGAAUCACAAACUUCAACACAAGCAUUUCUCAUAUUCACAACUACUCAACUAGCACGACUCUAAUAUCACCAUCUCCAUAUCUCAAAACAAUUAUCAAGUUUCAAACUUCUCAUAGUAUUCAACACACUCAUAAGAAAAUUUUAUUAUUAAUCUUGAAUGCCUAAAAUAAUUAAAGAAAAUUACCAUGCUUUUUUGUAGGACUCUCAAAAUAAUCUAAGUGAAGCAUGAGAGAACAAUGGUUUCUAUAAAACAAAUCUACCACCAUGCUCUAAAAGAUAUAAGUGAAGUACUAGAGCAAAAACUAUAUAACUCAAAAGAUAUAAGUGAAGCACAUAGAGUAUUCUAAUAAUUUCCGAAUCAUGUGUGUCUCUCUCAAAAAGGUGUGUGCAGCAUGGAUGAUUGUGGAAAACUAACAAAUAAAUACUCAAAUAAUACAAGAUGCUCCAACAAAACACAUAUCAUGUGGUAAAUAAAAAUAAAGCUCCAAGUAAAGUUUCCGAUAGAAGUAGACGAAAGAGGGGAUGCCUUCUGGGGCAUCCCCAAGCUUUGGCUUUUAGGUGUCCUUAGAUUAUCUUGGGGGUGCCAUGGGCAUCCCCAAGCUUAGGCUCUUGCCACUCCUUGUUCCAUAAUCCAUCAAAUCUUUACCCAAAACUUGAAAACUUCACAACACAAAACUUAAAGUAGAAAAUCUCGUGAGCUCCGUUAGCGAAAGAAAACAAAACACCACUUCAAGGUACUGUAAUGAACUCGUUCUUUAUUUAUAUUGGUGUUAAACCUACUGUAUUCCAACUUCUAUAUGGUUUAUAAACUAUUUUACUAGCUAUAGAUUCAUUAAAAUAAGCAAACAACACACGAAAAACAGAAUCUGUCAAAAACAGAACAGUCUGUAGUAAUCUGUAGCUAACGCAAGAUCUGGAACCCCAAAAAUCCUAAAAUAAAUUGCUGGACGUGAGGAAUUUAUCUAUUAAUCAUAUGCAAAAAUAAUUAACUAAAUAGAACUUUCCAAAUAAAAAUGGCAGCAGUUCCCGUGAGCGCUAAAUUUUCUGUUUUUUACAGCAAGAUUAAAAAGACUUUCCCCAAGUCUUCCCAACGGUUCUACUUGGCACAAACACUAAUUAAACACAAAAAACACAACAAAAACAGAGGCUAAAUAAAUUAUUUAUUACUAAACAGGAGCAAAAAGCAAGGAAUAAAAAUAAAAUUGGGUUGCCUCCCAACAAGCGCUAUCGUUUAACGCCCCUAGCUAGGCAUAAAAAGCAAGGAUAGAUCUAGGUAUUGCCAUCUUUGGAAGGCAAUCCAUAAGUGGCUCUCAUAGUAGAAUCAUAAGGUAAUUUAAUUUUCUUGCUAGGGAAGUGUUCCAUGCCUUUACUUAACGGAAAUUGGAAUCUAAUAUUCCCUUCCUCCAUAUCAAUAAUUGCACCAAUCGUUCUAAGGAAAGGUCUACCAAGAAUAAUAGGACAUGAAGGAUUGCAAUCCAUGUCAAGAACAAUAAAAUCUACAGGCACAUAAUUCCUAUUUGCAACAAUAAGAACAUCAUUAAUUCUUCCCAUAGGUUUCUUAAUGGUGGAAUCCGCAAGGUGCAAGUUUAAAGAGCAAUCAUCAAAAUCACGGAAACCUAACAAAUCACACAAAGUCUUUGGAAUCGUGGAAACACCAGCACCCAAAUCACACAAAGCAUAGCAUUCAUGAUCUUUAAUUUUAAUUUUAAUAGUAGGCUCCCACUCAUCAUAAAGUUUUCUAGGAAUAGAAACUUGCAACUCAAGUUUUUCUUCAUAAGAUUGCAUCAAAGUAUCAACGAUAUGUUUAGUAAAAGCUUUAUUUUGACUAUAAGAAUGAGGAGAAUUUAGCACGGAUUGCAACAAGGAAAUACAAUCUAUCAAAGAGGAAUUAUCAUAAUUAAAUUCCUUGAAAUACAAAAUAGUGGGUUCAUUAAUAUUUAAAGUUUUGACUUCUUCAAUCCCACUUUUAACAAUUUUAGCAUCACUAUCUAAAGACUCUGAAUUCUUGGAAUGCCGUCUAGGUAAAGGUGGAUCAUAUUCAGUCCCAUCAUUAUCAAGAUUCAUAUUGAAAAACAAAGAUUUAAUAGGGGACACAUCAAUAACUUUUAGAUCUUCAUCUUUAUCUUCCAGAAAAUUUUUCGGCUUAGCGGCCAUCUUAUUAACUAAGGUGGCCUGCUUAUCCGAAACUUCAGCUAUUAACUUUCCAAGAUAAGCAAUCUAAGAUUUCAAACCAUAAAAUUCUUUAGACAUAUCAUCGAGCUCUUUAUUCAUAUAACCCAUAAAACUUUUUUGUUCUUUAAGCUCAUUUCUAAAGAAGCUAUUAUGCUCAAAUUGUAAAACCAUAAAACUCCUGACAUUGCUUUCGAUCUCUUCUAACCUUUUAAGGUGAAGAUCACCAAAUCUAGGUAAAGCCAUCGUGACAAGCAAGCAAUCCGACACACAAGCAAACAAGAAACGGGCAAAAAGAGGCGAAUAGAGAAAGAGAGGGAGGACGGAGAGAGAGAGAGAGAGGGUGAAUAAAAUGGCAAGGGUGAAGUGGGGGAGAGGAAAAUGAGAGGCAAAUGGCAAAUAGUGUAAUGCGGGAGAUAAGGGUUUGUGAUGGGUACUUGGUAUGUUGACUUUUGCGUAGACCUCCCCGGCAACGGCGCCAGAAAUCCUUCUUGCUACCUCUUGAGCACUUGCGUUGGUUUUCCCUUGAAGAUGAAAGGAUGAUGCAGCCGAGUAGCGUAAGUAUUUUCCUCAGUUUUUGAGAACCAAGGUAUCAAUCCAGUAGGAGGCCACGCACGAGUCCCUCGCACCUACACAAACAAAUAAAUGCUCGCAACAAACGCAAUAAGGGGUUAUCAAUCCCUACACGGUCACUUACGAGAGUGAGAUAUGAUAGAUAUGAUAAGCGAAUAUUUUUGGUAUUUUUAUGAUAAAGAGAAAUAAAAGAUGCAAAGUAAAAUAAAUGGCAAAGGAAAUAACUAAGUAUUGGAAGAUUAAUAUGAUGGAAGAUAAACCCGGGGGCCAUAGGUUUCACUAGUGGCUUCUCUCAAUAGCAUAAGUAUUCACGGUGGGUAAACAAAUUACUGUUGAGCAAUUGACAGAAUUGAGCAUAGUUAUGAGACUAUCUAGGUAUGAUCAUGUAUAUAGGCAUCACGUCUGAGACAAGUAGACCGACUCCUGCCUGCAUCUACUACUAUUACUCCACACACAUCGACCGCUAUCCAGCAUGCAUCUAGAGUAUUAAGUUCAAGAGAACAGAGUAACGCUUUAAGCAAGAUGACUUGAUGUAGAGGGAUAAACUCAUGCAAUAUGAUGUAAACCCCAUCUUGUUAUCCUCGAUGGCAACAAUACAAUACGUGCCUUGCUGCCCCUACUGUCACUGGGAAAGGACACCGCAAGAUUGAACCCAAAGCUAAGCACUUCUCCCAUUGCAAGAAAGAUCAAUCUAGUAGGCCAAACCAAACUGAUAAUUCGAAGAGACUUGCAAAGAUAACCAAUCAUACAUAAAAGAAUUCAGAGAAGAUUCAAAUAUUGCUCAUAGAUAAACUUGAUCAUAAACCCACAAUUCAUCGCAAAAGAAGAUUACAUCGAAUAGAUCUCCACAAGAGAGGGGGAGAACUUUGUAUUGAGAUCCAAAAAGAGAGAAGAAGCCAUCUAGCUAAUAACUAUGGACCCGUAGGUCUGAGGUAAACUACUCGCACUUCAUCAGAGAGGCUAUGGUGUUGAUGUAGAAGCCCUCCAUGAUCGAUGCCCCCUUCGACGGAGCUUCGGAACAGGCCCCAAGACGGGAUCUCAUGGAUACAUAAAGUUACGGCAGUGGAAUUAGGGUUUUGGCUCCGUAUCUGGUAGUUUGGGGUACGUAGGUAUAUAUAGGAGGAAGGAGUACGUCCGUGGAGCAACAGGGGGCCCAUGAGGGUGGAGGGCGUGCUUGGGGGGGGGGGAUAGGUGCGCCCCCUACCUCGUGGCCUCCUGGUUGAUGUCUUGACGUAGGGUCCAAGUCCUCUGGAUCAUGUUCGUUCCAAAAAUCACGUUCCCGAAAGUUUCGUUCCGUUUGAUAUUCUUUUUCUGCAAAACCCUAAAAUAGGCAAAAAACAGCAAUUCCGGGAUGGGCCUCCGGUUAAUAGGUUAGUCCCAAAAAUAAUAUAAAAGUGUAUAAUAAAGCCUAAUAAUGUCCAAAACAUAAUAUAAUAUAGCAUGGAACAAUAAAAAAUUAUAGAUACGUUGGAGACGUAUCAGGAGGCAGCCGGCCAAGGAGGGGGGCGCGCCAAGGGGGAGUCUUACUCCCACCGGGAGUAGGACUCCCUCUUUUCCUAGUUGGAGUAGGAGAGGAGAAGGAAGGGAGAGAGGAAGAGAAGGAAAGGGGGGCGCUGCCCCCCUCCUUGUCCAAUUCAGACUAGAGGGGGAGGGGGGCGCGGCUACCCUUGGACGCCCCUCUUCUUCUCCCACUAAGGCCCAUUAGGCCCAAUAUACUCCCCGGUGGGUUCCGGUAACCCCCCCGGUACUCCGGUAAAUGUCCGGGACCUCCCGAAACACUUUUGGUGUCUGAACAUAGUCAUCCAAUAUAUCGAUCUUCACAUCUCAACCACUUCAAGACUCCUUGUCUUGUCCGUGAUCAUAUCCGAGACUCUGAACUACCUUCGGUACAUCAAAACACAAAAACUCAUAAUACCGAUCGUCACAGAACUUUAAGCGCGCAGACCCUAUGGGUUCAAGAACUAUGUAGACAUGACCGAGACAUGUCUCCGGUCAAUAACCAAUAGCGGAACCUGGAUGCUCAUAUUGGUUCCUACAUAUUCUAUGAAGAUCUUUAUCGGUCAAACCGCAUAACAACAUACGUUGUUCCCUUUGUCAUUGGUAUGUUACUUGCCCGAGAUUCGAUCGUCGGUAUCUCAAUACCUAGUUCAAUCUCAUUACCGACAAGUAUCUUUACUCGUUCCGUAAUGCAACAUCCUGCAACUAACUCAUUAGUCACAUUGCUUGCAAGGCUUAUAGUGAUGUGCAUUACCGAGAGGGCCCAGAGAUACCUCUCCGACAAUCGGAGUGACAAAUCCUAAUCUUGAUCUAUGACAACUCUACAAGUACCAUUGGAGACACCUCUAGAGAACCUUUAUAAUCACCCAGUUACGUUGUGAUGUUUGGUAGCAUACAAAGUGUUCCUCCGGUAACCGGGAGUUGCAUAAUCUCAUAGUCAUAGGAACAUGUAUAAGUCAUGAAGAAAGCAAUAGCAGUAAACUAAAACGAUCAAGUGCUAAGCUAACGGACUAGGUCAAGUCAAUCACAUCAUUCUUCUAAUGAUGUGAUCUCGUUUAUCAAAUGACAACUCAUGUCUAUGGUUAGGAAACAUAACCAUCUUUGAUCAACGAGCUAGUCAAGUAGAGGCAUACUAGUGACACUAUGUUUGUCUAUGUAUUCACACAUGUAUUAUGUUUCCGGUUAAUACAAUUCUAGCAUGAAUAAUAAACAUUUAUCAUGAAAUAAGGAAAUAAAUAAUAACUUUAUUAUUGCCUCUAGGGUAUAUUUCAUUUAGUCUCCCACUUGCACUAGAGUCAAAAUCUAGAUUACACAGUAAUGAUUCUAACACCCAUGGAGCCUUGGUGCUGAUCAUGUUUUGCUCGUGAGAGAGGCUUUAUCAAUGGGUCUGCAACAUUUAGAUCCGUAUGUAUCUUGCAAAUCUCUAUGUCUCCCACCUGGACUAGAUCCCGGAUGGAAUUGAAGCGUCUCUUGAUGUGUUUGGUCCUUUUGUGAAAUCUGGAUUCCUUUGCCAAGGCAAUUGCACCAGUAUUGUCACAAAAGAUUUUCAUUGGACCCGAUGCACUAGGUAUGACACCUAGAUCGGAUAUGAACUCCUUCAUCCAGACUCCUUCAUUUGCUGCUUCCGAAGCAGCUAUGUACUCCGCUUCACACGUAGAUCCCGACACGAUGCUUUGUUUAGAACUGCACCAACUGACAGCUCCACCGUUUAAUAUAAACACGUAUCCGGUUUGCGAUUUAGAAUCAUCCGGAUCAGUGUCAAAGCUUGCAUCGAUGUAACUAUUUACGACGAGCUCUUUGUCACCUCCAUAAACGAGAAACAUAUCCUUAGUCCUCUUUAGGUACUUCAGGAUGUUCUUGACCGCUGUCCAGUGAUCGACUCCUGGAUUACUUUGGUACCUCCCUGCUAAACUAAUAGCAAGGCACACAUCGGGUCUGGUACACAUCAUUGCAUACAUGAUAGAGCCUAUGGCUGAAGCAUAGGGAACACUUUUCAUCUUCUCUCUAUCUUCUGCAGUGGUCGGGCAUUGAGUCUUACUCAACUUCACACCUUGUAACACAGGCAAGAACCCUUUCUUAGCUUGAUCCAUUUUGAACUUCUUCAAAACUUUAUCAAUGUAUGUGCUUUGUGAAAGUCCAAUUAAGCGUCUUUAUCUAUCUCUAUAGAUCUUGAUGCCCAAUAUAUAAGCAGCUUCACCGAGGUCUUUCAUUGAAAAACUCUUAUUCAAGUAUCCUUUUAUGCUAUCCAGAAAUUCUAUAUCAUUUCCAAUCAACAAUAUGUCAUCUACAUAUAAUAUUAGAAAUGCUACAGAGCUCCCACUCACUUUCUGGUAAAUACAGGCUUCUCCAAAAGUCUGUAUAAAACCAUAUGAUUUGAUCACACUAUCAAAACGUUUAUUCUAACUCCGAGAGGCUUGCACCAGUCCAUAAAUGGAUCGCUGGAGCUUGCACACUUUGUUAGUACCCUUUGGAUAGAUAAAACCUUCAGGUUGCAUCAUAUACAACUCUUCUUCCAGAAAUCCAUUCAGGAAUACAGUCUUUACAUCCAUGAUACGUCUCCGUCGUAUCUAUAAUUUUUGAUUGUUCCAUGCCAAUAUUAUUCAACUUUCAUAUACUUUUUGGCAACUUUUUAUAUUAUUUUUGGGACUAACGUAUUGAUCCAGUGCCCAGUGCCAGUUCCUGUUUGUUGCAUGUUUUUUGUUUCGCAGAAAACCCAUACCAAACGGAGUCCAAACGGAAUAAAAACUGACGGAGAUUUAUUUUGGAAUAUUUAUGAAUUUUGGGAAGUGGAAUCAUCGCGAGACGGUGCCCGAGGGGGGCACGAGGUAGGGGGCGCGCCCCAGGGUGUCAGGCGCUCCCCUGAUCCUCGUGGCCACCUUGUAAGGCGGUUGGAGCCCUUCUUUCUCCGAAAGAAAGCUAAUUUCCGGAUAGAGAUCGUGUUAAAAUUUCAGCCCAAUCGGAGUUACGGAUCUCCGGGAAUAUAAGAAACAGUGAAAGGGAAGAAUCUGAGAACGCAGAACUAGAGAGACAUAGAGAGAUAGAUCCAAUCUCGGAGGGGCUCUCGCCCCUCCCACGCCAUGGAGGCCAUGGACCAGAGGGGAAACCCUUCUCCCAUCUAGGGAGGAGGUCAAGGAAGAAGAAGAAGGAGGGGGAUCUCCCCCCUCGCUACCGGUGGCACCGGAGUGCCACCGGGGGCCAUCAUCAUCACCGCGAUCUUCACCAACAACUUCACCGCCAUCAUCACCAACUCUUCCCCCCUCUAUGCAGCGGUGUAACCUCUCCCUUACCCGCUAUAAUCUCUACUUAAACAUGGUGCUCAACGCUAUAUAUUAUUUCCCAAUGAUGUAUGGCUAUCCUAUGAUGUUUGAGUAGAUCUGUUUUGUCCUAAUGGCUAUUUGAUGAUCGUGAUUGGUUUGAGUUGUAUGUUUUAUUAUUGGUGAUGUCCUAUGGUGCUCUCCGUGUCGCGCAAGCGUGAGGGAUUCCCGCUGUAGGGUUUGCAAUAUGUUUAUGAUUUGCUUAUGGUGGGUGGCAUGAGUGACAGAAGCACAGACCCGAGUAAGUAGGUUGUUUGCGUAUGGGAUAAAGGGGACUUGAUGCUUUAAUGCUAUUGUUGGGUUUUACCUUAAUGAAUCUUUAGUAGUUGCGGAUGCUUGCUAGAGUUCCAAUCAUAAGUGCAUAUGAUCCAAGUAGAGAAAGUAUGUUAGCUUAUGCCUCUCCCUCAAAUAAAAUUGCAAUAAUGAUUACCGGUCUAGUUAUCGAUUGCCUAGGGACAAAUAACCUUCUUGUUGACAAAAGCUAUUUACUAAAACUAAUUUAGUUGUGUCUUCAUCUAAACAACCCCUACUUUAUAUUUACUUGCUCUUUAUUAUCUUGCAUACCUAUCCAACAACACCUACAAAGUACUUCUAGUUUCAUACUUGUUUCCGGUGAAGCGAACGUCAAGUGUGCGUAGAGUUGUAUCGGUGGUCGAUAGAACUUGAGGGAAUAUUUGUUGUACCUUUAGCUCCUCGUUGGGUUCUACACUCUUACUUAUCGAAAGAGGCUACAAUUGAUCCCCUAUACUUGUGGGUUAUCAAGACCUUUGCCAAAUUUCAUAAUCAUAAAAUGCGGCAAUUGCUAACAUGAUCCGGAUGGACUUAAGCAUCGCUACGGGUGAGAAGGUCUCAUCGUAGUCAAUUCCUUGAACUUGUCGAAAACCUUUCGCGACAAGUCGAGCUUUGUAGACAGUAACGUUACCGUCAGCGUCAGUCUUCUUCUUGAAGAUCCACUUAUUCUCGAUGGCUUGCCGAUCAUCGGGCAAGUCAACCAAAGUCCAUACUUUGUUCUCAUACAUGGAUCCCAUCUCAGAUUUCAUGGCUUCAAGCCAUUUUGUGGAAUAUGGGCUCAUCAUCGCUUCCUCAUAGUUCGUAGGCUCGUCAUGGUCAAGCAACAUGACCUCCAGAACAAGAUUACUGUACCACUCUGGUGCGGAUCUUACUCUGGUUGACCUACGAGGUUGAGUAGUAACUUGAUAUGAAGUUUCAUGAUCAUCAUCAUUAGCUUCCUCACUAAUUGGUGUAGGUGUCACGGGAACCGGUUUCUGUGAUGAACUACUCUCCAAUAAGGGAGCAGGUACAAUUACCUCAUCAAGUUCUACUUUCCUUCCACUCACUUCUUUCGAGAGAAACUCCUUCUCUAGAAAGGAUACAUUCUUAGCAACAAAUUUCUUGCCUUCGGAUCUGUGAUAGAAGGUGUACCCAACAGUCUCCUUUGGGUAUCCUAUGAAGACACAUUUCUCCUAUUUGGGUUCGAGCUUAUCAGGUUGAAGCUUUUUCACAUAAGCAUCGCAGCCCCAAACUUUAAGAAAUGACAACUUUGGUUUCUUGCCAAACCACAGUUCAUAAUGCGUCGUUUCAACGGAUUUCGAUGGUGCCUAUUUAACGUGAAUGCAGCCGUCUCUAAAGCAUAACCCCAAAACGAUAGCGGUAAAUCAGUAAGAGACAUCAUAGAUCGCACCAUAUCUAGUAAAGUACGAUUACGACGUUCGGACACACCAUUACGAUGUGGUGUUCCGGGUGGCGUGAGUUGCGAAACUAUUCCACAGUGUUUCAAAUGUAGACCAAACUCGUAACUCAAAUAUUCUCCUCCACGAUUAGAUCGUAGAAACUUUAUUUUCUUGUUACGAUGAUUUUCCACUUCACUCUGAAAUUCUUUGAACUUUUCAAAUGUUUCAGACUUAUGUUUCAUUAAGUAGAUAUACCCAUAUCUGUUCAAAUCAUCUGUGAAGGUGAGAAAAUAAUGAUACCCGCCGCGAGCCUCAAUAUUCAUUGGACCACAUACAUCAGUAUGUAUGAUUUCCAACAAAUCCGUUGCUCGCUCCAUUGUUCCGGAGAACGGCGUUUUAGUCAUCUUGCCCAUGAGGCAUGGUUCGCAAGUACCAAGUGAUUCAUAAUCAAGUGAUUACAGAAGUCCAUCAGUAUGGAGUUUCUUCAUGCGCUUUACAUCAAUAUGACCCAAAUGGCAGUGCCACAAAUAAGUUGGACUAUCAUUAUCAACUCUACAUCUUUUGGCUUCAACAUUAUGAAUAUGUGUAUCACUACUAUCGGGAUUCAAUACAAAUAGACCACUCUUCAAGGGUGCAUGACCACAAAAGAUAUUAUUCAUAUAAAUAGAACAACCAUUAUUCUCAUAUUUAAAUGAAUAACCGUCUCGCAUCAAACAAGAUCCAGAUAUAAUGUUCAUGCUUAACGCUGGCACCAAAUAACAAUUAUUUAGGUCUAAAACUAAUCCCGAAUGUAGAUGUAGGGGUAGCGUGCCGACGGCGAUCACAUCGACUUUGGAACCAUUUCCCACGCGCAUCGUCACCUCGUCCUUAGCCAGUCUUUGCUUAAUCCGUAGUGCCUGUUUCGAGUUGCAAAUAUUAGUAACAGAACCAGUAUCAAAUACCCAGGUGUUACUACGAGCUCUAGUAAGGUACACAUCAAUAACAUGUAUAUCACAUAUACAUUUGUUCACCUUGCCGUCCUUCUUAUUCGCCAAAUACUUGGGGCAAUUCCGCUUCCAGUGACCAGUCCCUUUGCAGUAGAAGCACUCAGUCUCAGGCUUAGGUCCAGAGUUGGGUUUCUUCUCUUGAGCAACAAUUUGUUUGCCGUUCUUCUUGAAGUUCCCUUUCUUCUUCCCUUUACCUUUUUCUUGAAACCGGUGGUUUUGUUGACCAUCAACACUUGAUGCUCUUUCUUGAUUUCUACCUCCGCAGCCUUUAGCAUUGCGAAGAGCUCGGGAAUCGUCUUAUCCAUCCCUUGCAUAUUAUAGUUCAUCAUGAAGCUCUUGUAGCUUGGUGGCAGUGAUUGAAGAACUCUGUCAAUGACACUAUCAACCGGAAGAUUUACUCCCAGCCGAGUCAAGUGAUUAUGGUACCCAGACAUUCUAAGUAUAUGUUCACUAACAGAACUAUUCUCCUCCAUCUUGCAGCUCUAGAACUUAUUGGAGACUUCAUAUCUCUCAAUCCGGGCAUUUGCUUGAAAUAUUAACUUCAACUUCUAGAACAUCUCAUAUGCUCCAUGACGUUCAAAACGUCGUUGACGUCUCGGUUCUAAGCCGUAAAGCAUGGCACACUGAACUAUCGAGUAGUCAUCAGCUUUGCUCUGCCAGACGUUCAUAACAUCUGGCGUUGCUCCUGCAACGGGUUUGGCACCCAGGGGUUCUUCCAGGACGUAAUUCUUGUGUGCAGCAAUGAGGAUAAUCCUCAAGUUACGAACCCAGUCCGUGUAAUUGCUACCAUCAUCUUUCAACUUUGCUUUCUCAAGGAACGCAUUAAAAUUCAACGGAACAACAGCACGGGCCAUCUAUCUACAAUAACAUAGACACGCAAAGUACUAUCAGGUACUAAGUUCUUGAUAAAUUUAAGUUCAAUUAAUCAAAUUACUUAAGAACUCCCACUUAGAUAGACAUCCCUGUAAUCAUCUAAGUGAUCACGUGAUCCAUAUCAACUAAACCAUAACCGAUCAUCACGUGAAAUGGAGUAGUUUUUAAUGGUGAACAUCACUAUGUUGAUCAUAUCUACUAUAUGAUUCACGGUCGACCUUUCGAUCUCAGUGUUCCGAGGCCAUAUCUGCAUAUGCUAGGCUCGUCAAGUUUAACCUGAGUAUUCUGCGUGUGUAAAACUGCCUUACACCCGUUGUAGAUGAACGUUGAGCUUAUCACACCCGAUCAUCACAUGGUGUCUCGGCACGACGAACUUUGGCAAUGGUGCAUACUCAGCGAGAACACUUUUACCUUGAAAUUUAGUGAGAGAUCAUCUUAUAAUGCUACCUUCAAACAAAGCAGAAUAAGAUGCAUAAUGGAUAAACAUCACAUGCAAUCAAUAUACACUAGUAGAAAAAUGGUCAAACGUGAAGCACAUUAGUGCCGGUUUGUAUUUGAGCCGGCACUAAUGUAUACAUUAGUGCCGGUUCCAACGGAUAGCCGGGCCGCUUUCAUUAGUACCGCUUCGUGGCGAACCUUUAGCACCGGUUCGUGCCACGAACCGGUACUAAUGAGAGUGGUGGCAGGAUGUUGUCAGAGUGGGGCCCCUCCAGCACCUUUAGUACCGGUUCGUGCCAUGAACCGGUGCUAAAGGUCAUCCUAUAUAAACCCUUCGUCCACCAGCACUCUGUUCUUCCCCCUUUCCCCUCUCCGGCCCUCUCCUCUGUUCUUCCCUUCUUCCUCUCGAGUUCAUCACAAAAUUUGCCCAAAAUUUGUCAAGAUUUGAAGGCCCUCAUCCAUUCAAAUGAUCACAAAGGUUAGCAACUUUGUCCUUUCAUCUCUCAUUGCUAGAUUAGCUCUUUCAUUGGUUUAUAUAGUGAUUAAUAUGUGAGUUUAGUAAUUUGGGAGGAUAUAUAUAUAUAUAUAUAUAUAUGUGCUAGUAUUUGAUUUAUAUGCAAUUUGAGGUCAAAAAUAACACUUAGUUUGCAUAUGUAGGUGUGGUUUACUUAGUGCCUUCUAAAUCUCCAUCGUAGCCACCCGAGCAUCCCGUUAAAUGAUGAAGAUUUUCCAUGGCUACGACGCAAAGGGACACACGCGAAGAAAAAGUUUCACACCCAAAGAUCUGGGAUGUGAUCGGCUUAACUAUCAUCACUUUCUUCUGUGUUUCACACCCAGGAGGGAAUCUCUGUAAUAGUUAGGGUAGCUAGUUAUGUGUUUUGGCAUUUGAAACGCGAAGAAAUUUUAUGUGCAAGCAAAUUCUUUCAUGCAUUUAUUGAUUUUUUCAGCUAAAUGACCCUAAAAUUGAAAAGCAUUUCAAAUGAACUCAGAAAAGGAUGAAAGUUGGCAUGGUAUCAUAAUUUCACCCACAUAGCAUGUGCAAAAAAGUAGAGAGGGUUACCGCAAAAACUGGAUGCACUUCGUGUACAAAAUGGACAAUCUGUUUCGAAGUAUCAGGGUUUCGGACGAAAACUCAUCCGUUACAAAGGCAUUUCAUUUUUAAAUAACUUAAGCAUUACCAAAUUGAAUAGAAUGAUAAAACACACUAAUAUUAAACAUAAGAAAAAAGAAUCACUGGAAAAUGCAUUUUUAAAGUUAAGUUAUUCACAAACUAGUGAUUCACACAAAUUUCAAAUAAUUCAAAAUUUAAACUAUUCAAAUUUAAAAACUACCGGGACUAACUGAAAGUUUCUAAAAACUAUCAAAAAUAUUCACAAAGAAACUCUAAAUACAGCAAAAAACAACUAAAAAUAAAUAAAACAAAAUAAAUAAAGAAGAAAAGAAAAAACUAAAUGAAAAAAGCUCACCUACCGGGCCACGGCGGCCUGCAUACGACUAGAAACCCAACCUGUUGUUGGGCCAGGAUGCAGGCCCGCAAGCCCAAUAGGCCCCACAGGGCAGAGUAGCAGAGGUAGGCCCAGAAGGCCUGCUUUAGAGAGGAGCUCGAGACAGCAGCGGCGGCGGGACUUAUAAGCAGGUGUGAGCGCCCUUCGGCUAGCAAGGUGGGACUAAACUUCUGCGCCCCUCGCCUGGCAGCGCACCCCCUUUAGUACCGGGUCGUGGCACCAAUCGGUACUAAAGGGGGGGCCUUUAGUACCGGUUGGAGCCAGGAACCGGUACUAAAGGGGGGGGUGCUUCCCCCCGCUUGGCUUGGCCAAAACAGGCCUUUAGUACCGGUUGGUGGCUCCAACCGGUACUAAAGGUGUCCCCUAUAUAAGAAACACUUCGAAAAUUUUCAGUUUCUCAUCUCCCACUUCUCUCUGCCGCCGCCCCGUCCCGCGCCUUCGCCGCCCCCGUCGCGCCGUCCCCGUCGACUCCGCGACGCCCCCGUCGUCGUCGCGUCGUCCCCGUCGACUCCGUGGCACCCCCGUCGCCGUCCCGGUCGCCGAUCCCCUCGCUUCGCCGUCGCCGUCGCCUUUGGAUUGACCUCGCCUCGCCGUCGCCGUCGCCUCAACCUUGCCCGCGUGCGCUUUGAGCCCCUCCCCCGGCCCCUCUCCUCCCUCCAAUCGAUCGUAGCGCACACCGGCGCCGGNNNNNNNNNNNNNNNNNNNNNNNNNNNNNNNNNNNNNNNNNNNNNNNNNNNNNNNNNNNNNNNNNNNNNNNNNNNNNNNNNNNNNNNNNNNNNNNNNNNNNNNNNNNNNNNNNNNNNNNNNNNNNNNNNNNNNNNNNNNNNNNNNNNNNNNNNNNNNNNNNNNNNNNNNNNNNNNNNNNNNNNNNNNNNNNNNNNNNNNNNNNNNNNNNNNNNNNNNNNNNNNNNNNNNNNNNNNNNNNNNNNNNNNNNNNNNNNNNNNNNNNNNNNNNNNNNNNNNNNNNNNNNNNNNNNNNNNNNNNNNNNNNGCACACACACGCGCGCGCGCACACACACACUACAUGCACACACACACACACACACACACACACUACACACACACUAGACGCGCACACACACACACAAUUUUUCUGUUUUUAGCUUUUAGUUUUUUCCGUUUUUCUGUUUUUCAUACAAAGUUUUAGAUGAAUUAAUUAAUUAGAUUAGAUUAAUGUCAAAUAGUAUGUAGAAAUGUUAGUUAUAAUAUAUAUAAUGUCAAAUGUUAUAGAAAUGUUAGAAAUUUUGGAAAUGUUAGUUUUAGCUAGCUAGAUGAAUUAGAUUAAUUUCAAAUUGUUAGACGAUGAUCGAUGUUUUUUUUAGUUUCUUAUAUUUUUAGUUAUAAAAUUUAGAAUUUGCAUAUAUGAAAUCAUCACAAUCCAUCAUUUAAAAAAUGUUACUUUACUUUUGCGGCAUAUAGUAUUUUGUUGUCGACGAUGCCCGGCCCGCAUCCUCGCCGUCGACACGUCCGCGACGAUGUCCUGCUUUAGAGGACCCAUGUCCGGGACUGGGCUCCGCCGGGCUGGCACUGGGAGGUGCUACCUUCAGGGGCGCGACGCUUGGUGAGGAACCCGGCCCCGGGUCCCGUCGUCGACCCUCAUCUCCUUUGGUGGCAUUCGCGUGGGCCACUUUCGGUGCGGAGGGAGCCGGCCCCGCCCGAGGUGGUAUGUCGCCGUGUCAGGGAGGAGGAUGAGCACGUCCAUCGCUACAUGGCUGCUAUGGACGUCAGGUUCUCCAAUACCUGGCAGGUUCUUUGAGGAGAUCACCCGAGCUAUGAUCCAGUGAUGGUUCCUUCUCUUUGGGUGUCCACCGCCCGCACCUCAGGAACCGCGAGUGGCCUAGAUUACUCUGUAGUAUUCGAUCUUUAUUAGCUUGCUAGCUAGCUAGCUAGUGAUGUAUUCAAUAUUAUAUCUAUUAUUCGAGACGAUGUAUUCGAGAUUAUAUCUAUUAUUCGAGAUUAUACUAAAUUGUUUUAUAUUUCUUUUGGCAUAGUUAAAUAAAAGCUAUGGCAGACAAUACCGACAGAGAGAGAGAACAGACCAUGUUCGAUAUCAUACGCGGACCAGAUGAUGAUCAGAAUGAAGAAGAUUUUGACGGCUCCGAAUUUCUAAACAACACCGGAGAGGGUGAUAUGAUAUUCGAUCGCGACGACCGAGAAGAUGAAGUCAUGAACUACGACGAAGAACAUGUUGAUCCUGAAACAACAAACACUGGCGAGGUAUAUAUAUUUAUAUAAGCAGGAAUCUGGUGAUCAUCGCAUGUUUUAAAUGAGUUGAAGAUAUAUUAACGAAUCGAUCUUUCUUCUUUCAGCCAUCCGGAUCGAGCAAAUCUUCAGGCAAAAGGACGAAACGAGGCCCGAACAAAAAGUUGAAGGACGGUGUAAAGUACAAUAUCGAGGCAUUCAAACCUAAUGGCGAACCAUUAGCGCCUAAGAAGAUUGCGGACAAGUUCGUUCGUCAGUGCGGAGUUCUUGUGCAGGACCAACUCCCGAUCUCCCUUCAAGAAUGGAGAAAGCCAGCAAAUCCACGUCCAGAUGUUACUUUUGUCGACGAGAAUCAAAAAAAUCUGCUUUGGGAUACUCUCAUGGAACAUUUCACCCUACCAGAUAAUUUCACAGAAGCAGAUGUGCGGAAAGUCAAGGACGCUGCUUUUAGGAAGAUGGCGGUUGCAUUCAAGAACCACAAGAGAAUGACAUGGGAGAAGUAUGUCAAGGGAGGAAGGAAGACUCCAGUAUUCAAGGGGAUACUAGAGAAUCAAAGUGCUCAUUGGGACGAUUUCGUGAAAUUCAAGGAUUCAGAAUUAGUUAAGGAACGGUCGAGAAUAAACAAGAAGAAUGCCGAAAAAAGGAUAAGUUGCAUAAGCUGGGGCCAGGUGGCUACGCGGUGGCAAUGCCUAAGUGGGAUAAGUCUGAGAAAGAGAUGGAGGAUGCAGGUUUCACUCCAGUUACUAAGAGCUGGCCCCCAGGUGCAGGACUUGGUUCUAUGCGCAUGGGGGGAGUUGGACCCGAAGACAGGCAAUGUUUCGACGAAGGCAUGUCUGAACGGAGCCGGCGAUGCGCUACUUGUUGCAAUAGAAGAGGCUCGAUCGGGGGUGUUCCAGCCCAACAGAGAGAACGACGAGCUUACACUGCCUUGGGAAAUCCUGAACACCUGGGAAGAACACGAGGCAAGGGCGCUCUUCCGUGGUAUGAGGGGUUUUCGGACUGGAACGCCGACUACAGAACCCGUGCGAGAAAGAAGAUUGCGGAGGAGAAGAAGAGGAAGAUGGAGGAGGAGCAAAGGAAGCGGGACUAUAAACGCCUUCAAGGCCUAGAAGCAAGUCAAGCGGAAUUGGCAGCUAAAUUCCAGCGGCAGCAGGAACAGAUCGACUCACUUAGCCAGCAAAGGGGGUCUCAGCAUCUGCAGCAGCUAGCGGAUGAUCCAGCAUUGGAUACCACCGCCCCAUCCAUGCCGAGAAGCAGCGUGGGUUCCACCCCGGGCGACACAGUAGUGCUGGAUAGAUACCCCGUGGAUGACAUCACGGAGAACACUAACUGCGAGCUACACUUCAAAAUGAAGAACAUAUCCAUGAAGGUGGCGGACGCCGUUGCUUUUUCAAAUUCCCCCGAGGCAACCUUCCAUUGCAACCCGAUUCCAGCGGGCUAUGCUCGUGUCUUGGUUGAUGAGGUGGUGGACCCAUAUUCGGAGCUACAGCUUGACAUUCCUGGAGGUGACAACGAGCACACAUUGGGAGAGGCCAUACAUCGUGUCAUCCUAUGGAGAAAGGAUUGCAUCAUCUUUUGAAGGCCACCGACACCGCGUCACCCGACUCCUCGUCGAAGUCCGCCACCGAGUCAGCAGACUCCCGCUCCUCCAAGUCCACCAACGCGUGAGGCCACUCCUCCUCCUCCAAGUCCGGCAAAGUGUCAGGCCACUCCUCCUCCAAGUCCGACACAGCGUCAGACGUCCACUCCUCCUCCAAGUCCGGCACAACCUCAGGCCACUGCAAGUCCGGCACAGCUUCAGGCCACUCCUCCUCGUCCAACUCAGCCCCGUCAGCCGUCUCCGCCGCCUCAGCAGUCGCAGAAGAGACACCCCGCAGCUAUGGUGCGUAGCGGUACGAGUCGAGGUCAUAGUACAGGAAGUACAGGCGGAGGCAAGCGAUAUAAAUAUGGUCCAAACCUCACUACUCCUCUUCCUGUGAGGGCUUACGACAGGACCGAGGAGCAAACCAAUGCCAUAGUGCAGGCAGAAGUCGACGCCCAUUUUGGACCGAAACCGCCACCGCUGCCAAGGGAGAAAGUGCCUGUGGAAGUAGUUGACCACUUCAUUCGUAUGGCUCAACCACCAGCUCCUAAGCCUGUUGACUCAGACUAUGAGCGCCACAUCAAGAAGUUACAUCGACGACGUCUACAGAAGGAGGCGAGCUCGAGCUCGAGCAAACAACAAGCAGUUGUCAAAAAAUGCAGGAAAACCGUUGCCCAGCUGGGAAAAUAGGCGGCGCAAUCGACCCCCCCGCUUGUCGUGCCGCCAACAACAUGUGACAGUACGCGCGCCCAAUAUUAUUGUGGCCAAAUAGUUUACGUUCCCGAGGUGGGCGAUGUGGUAAUAACCCAGGAGCAUAUAAUGCAGGCUGAAGAACUCAAGAUCACUGUUGGACAACUCCUCGAGAUCGAGGACAUGCCUGGGAUUACAGAGGAGGAAAUAAAACGGAAAUAUGUCCGGGGCCAACCUUUGGUCGAGCCAGAAGAUGUUAACAAGCUCCCAACGAGAAUGUAUGAAUUACAUCAAUGGUACAUGGACAUUACCAAGAGAUCCAAUCGAGAGUCCCUCAUGGUGAAUGUCAAGAAGGAUGAUUACUACCAUGAGAAAGCUGUGGCCAUUGAGUAUCCUGAACUGUUUCAGUUAUACAAUCAAGACGCACUCGACAAAUCUAUCGUCAGUUGCUAUUUUCUGUAAGUGAUUUCUUUCUGUAAUUUAAGUCUCAAGCUAGCUGUAGUGAUCCUUUUGAGCAAUCAUUACCUGUAAUUAUCCUCACUAUAUUCUUUUCUGUGGUAUUAUGCAGGAUGAAGAUGUAUGAAAUGAGAAAAGGUGAACGCUAUGGCAUUGGGUUCAUUGACCCAAACACCGUUAAUGAAUACACAUGGAAAAUGAACAAGCAUCAAGAAAAAGAGGUAGAGGACAGCAUGCUAGAGUUCUUGAAGUGCCUCAAAUACAAUGAAGAUAUAUUACUUCCUUACAACUUCCAGUGAGUCACACUUUCUUGUACUACAAAUUCUCUGUUUUUGCCUACUAGCUAGCUACAUGUUUUUCUUACAUAUCCCCGCUUAAUUAAGACAUGCAAACGUGUGUGCAUGCAGAUUUCACUGGAUCUUGUGUAUCAUUAAAGUUGACGCCGGAACAGUUGAAAUACUGGACUCGCUACUCAAAGCAAAUAGUGACUAUAACAUCUUGUUUGGGAUAGUCAACAGGUAAUUUCAAUCAUCAUUAACUAUAUAUCUCGGCCUAUUUAGUUCGUCAUUAAUUUCAUGAUAUGAACUAUUUAAUAACCCCUUUAUUCAUUUUCUUUGUCGGCGGGCAGGGCUUGGGCAAGGUUCAUCAGCGUCACGGAAGGCGAAUGGAAACCAAAGCUGAAAUGGUUUCGAUCCAAGGUAAGUAAUUUAGUAGUACUAGCUAGCUAGCUAGCUGCCAUCUCUUUAAUUAUCAUGCUUGAUUAAUUAUUAUCUGAUCAAAUUAAAUUCCAUUCUCGUAAUAAAGGCCCUGAAGCAGGCGCAGGGGACUGAUCUGUGUGCAUUCUGCGUUUGCAAGAACAUUCGCAUGAUGGCGUCCGAAAGGAGCAGAUCUCAAAGACAGGAAUGGGUACGCUUGUUAGAACACUAUUCAUAAAAUUUUACACCAUUAUCGAUAUCUAGUCACACAACUAAUACACAUGCAUAUUGAUCUCCUUCUUAACAGUUCAAAGAGGUGCGGGACAAGCUCCUACCAACGGAGCGCGUAGAAGCACUUCAAGAGGAAAUAGCGGGAUUUUUGCUCGACCAGGUCAUAAAUCCGAAGGGAGAAUACUAUUACCCGCUACCGCCCCCAUGAACCACUUCCAAUUGUCAUCAUGCUCCGAAGGCACCAAUUAGGCUAAUGCCACUGGCUCCGAAGGCAACAUGCAUAUGUAGGAGAAAUUGUAUAUAGCUAUACAUGUGUGUAUGUGUAAAUUAAUAUGGUGGUUUGUGAGACAUUGAUGAUAUAUAUAUAUGAUUGGUUCUACUAGAAAUUCUAUAUAUAUAUAUAUAUAUAUAUAUAUAUAUAUAUAUAUAUAUAUAUGCAUAACGUGUACAAUGUGUAGUACCGUAAAAUACUAGCAAACGAAAAAGAAUUAAAAUGGAAAACACAAAAUUAAAUGAAAAAGAAAUCAUAAAACCAAAAACCCCACAACCAUUUAGUACCGGUUGGUGUUACCAACUGGUACUAAAGGGCUCCCGGCCCCCGGAGCUGGCUCGUGCCACGUGGAUCCCCUUUAGCACCGGUUCGUGCUGAACCGGUACUAAAGGGGGGGGCCUUUAGUGCCGAAACUUUAGUGCCGGUUCCUAAACCGGCACUAAAGGGCCUUACGAACCGGUGCUAUUGCCCGGUUCUACACUAGUGAUAAGUGAUAUGAUAUGGCCAUCAUCAUCUUGUGCCUUUGAUCUCCAUCUCCAAAGCACCGUCAUGAUCACCAUCGUCACCGGCGCGACACCUUGAUCUCCAUCGUAGCAUCGUUGUCUUCUCGCCAACUAUUGCUUCUACGACUAUCGCUACCGCUUAGUGAUAAAGUAAAGCAAUUACAGGGCGAUUGCAUUGCAUACAAUAAAGAGACAACCAUAUGGCUCCUUCCAGUUGCCAAUAACUCCGUUACAAAACAUGAUCAUCUCAUACAAUAAAGUAUAGCAUCAUGGGUUGACCAUAUCACAUCACAACAUGCCCUACAAAAACAAGUUAGACGUCCUCUACUUUGUUGUUGCAAGUUUUACGUGGCUGCUACGGGCUGAGCAAGAACCGUUCUUACCUACGCAUCAAAACCACAAUGAUAGUUUGUCAAGUUAGUGUUGUUUUAACCUUCUCAAGGAUCGGGCGUAGCCACACUUGGUUCAACUAAACUUGGAGAAACUGACACCUGCCAGCCACCUGUGUGCAAAGCACGUCGGUAGAACCAGUCUCGCGUAAGCGUAUGCGUAAUGUCGGUCUGGGCCGCUUCAUCCAAGAAUACCGCCAAACCAAAGUAUGACAUGCUGGUAAGCAGUAUGACUUGUAUCGCCCACAACUCACUUGUGUUCUACUCGUGCAUAUAACAUCUACGCAUAAACCUAGGUCGGAUGCCACUGUUGGGGAACGUAGUAAUUUCAAAAAAAAUUCCUACGCACACGCAAGAUCAUGGUGAUGCAUAGCAACUAGAGGGGAGAGUGUCGUCCACGUACCCUCUUAGACCGUUAAGCGGAAGCAUUAUAACAAUGCGGUUGAUGUAGUCGUACGUCUUCACGAUCGCCCAAUCCUCAGCACCAAACGUACGACACCUCCGCGUUCAGCACACGUUCAGCUCGGUGACGUCCCACAAACUCACGAUCCAGUAGAGCUCGGGGAAGAGUUUCGUCAGCACGAUGGCAUGGUGACGAUCUUGAUGAAGCUACCGACGCAGGGCUUCGCCUAAGCACCGCUAUGAUAUAACCGAGGUGGAUUAUGGUGGAGGGGGCACCGCACACGGCUAAGAGAUCAACAUAUCAAUUAUUGUGUCUAUGGGGUGCCCCCUGCCCCCGUAUAUAAAGGAGAUAGGGGGGAGACGGCCGGCCAAGGAGGAGGGCGCGCCAAGGGGGGAGUCCUACUCCCAUCGGGAGUAGGACACCCUCUUUUCCUAGUUGGAGUAGGAGAGGAGAAGGAAGGGAGAGAGGAAGAGAAGGAAGGGGGGCGCCGCCCCCCUCCUUGUCCAAUUCGGACUAGAGGGGGAGGGGGCGCGCGGCUGCCAUUGGCCUCCCCUCCUCUUCUCCCACUAAGGAGGCCCAAUAUACUCCCCGGGGGGUUCCGGUAACCCCCCGGUACUCCGGUAAAUGUCCGAGACCUCCCGAAACACUUCCGGUAUCUGAACAUAGUCAUGCAAUAUAUCGAUCUUUAUGUCUCGAGCACUUCGAGACUCCUCGUCAUUUACGUGAUCAUAUCCAGGACUCUGAACUACCUUCGGUACAUAAAAACACAAAAACUCAUAAUACCGAUCGUCACAGAACUUUAAGCGUGCAGACCCUACAGGUUCGAGAACUAUGUAGACAUGACCGAGACAUGUCUCCGGUCAAUAACCAAUAGCGGAACCUGGAUGCUCAUAUUGGUUCCUACAUAUUCUAUGAAGAUCUUUAUCGGUCAAACCGCAUAACAACAUACGGGGUUCCCUUUGUCAUCGGUAUGUUACUUGCCCGAGAUUCGAUCAUCGGUAUCUCAAUACCGAGUUCAAUGUCAUUACCGGCAAGUAUCUUUACUCAUUCCAUAAUGCAACAUCCCACAACUAACUCAUUAGUCACAUUGCUUGCAAGGCUUAUAGUGAUGUGCAUUACCCAGAGGGCCCAGAGAUACCUCUCCGACAAUCGGAGUGACAAAUCCUAAUCUUGAUCUAUGCCAACUCAACAAGUACCAUCGGAUACACCUGUAGAGCACCUUUAUAAUCACCCAGUUACGUUGUGACGUUUGGUAGCACACAAAGUGUUCCUCCAGUAAUCGAGAGUUGCAUAAUCUCAUAGUCAUAAGAACAUGUAUAAGUCAUGAAGAAAGCAAUAGGAGUAAACUAAAACGAUCAAGUACUAAGGUAACAGACUGGGUCAAGUCAAUCACAUCAUUCUUCUAAUGAUGUGAUCCCAUUUAUCAAAUGACAACUCAUGUCUAUGGUUAGGAAACAUAACCAUCUUUGAUCAAUGGGUUAGUCAAGUAGAGGCAUACUAGUGACACUAUGUUUGUCUAUGUAUUCACAUAUGUAUUUUGUUUCAGGUUAAUACAAUUCUAGCAGGAAUAAUAAACAUUUAUCAUGAAAUAAGAAAUAAAUAAUAACUUUAUUAUUGCCUCUAGGGCAUAUUUCCUUCACCAGAGACAAAUAACUGGCCAGACCGUUCAAAGACUUGUUUCUUCGGGGUUGGCGGAACCUGGAAGUGCAUUUGGACGAACGAGCAACUGCGAAUACCCGUCACGAAGCUUCAAGAGUAUAUCGCCGCAGUGCAGGAAGGGACGUUCAUUCCCGACAGAUAAAACGACGAGCUCACAAUGGCCCUCGGGAAUCCUGAGCACCCCGGACGGACACGAGGCACGCCAGGCUCCGUUUCAUGGAAGGCUAGGUUUCCGGACAUAGGCGGUUACAAAGGACAGGAAAGGAGGAGGGCAGUGGAGCAGACCCAACUGCAGGCGCUGCAUGCAAGGGUAAAAGCGCUAGAGGAAUGAGAAGCAGUUCACAGCAACCGACCUGCCGAAGCUACCCCGCCAUCUCAGCGGAGAAGUAGCUUGGCUUCCACUGAGCUGCUUCAGGAGCCUGUCUUCAUGGCUCCUGCUAGCUACCCCGUGGAUGCUAUCACGGAGUCUCAACAUUGCCACCUUAUGACGCAAUGGCAGAAAUUCAAUGUCAAGGCGGCUGUCAGCUCUGUUGCACCUCCUGAACCCGGUGCAACUUUUCACCGCCGACCAAUUCCAUAAGGAUAUGCUAGGGUGAUGGUGGAUGAAAUAACAGAGAGAUUUGAGGAGCUUGAGCUUGACCACCCUACCGGUGAAGGGGAGACUCGGCUGGGUUCUGCUCUGAAAACUCCAUGUCUAUGGCGGAAGGAGCUCAUCAACCUUCUGAACUGGACGCCUCCGCCUCCUCCUCCGAUGACGACAAGUCAGGGCACUCCGCCUCCUCCUCCGCCGCCUCCUCCGACGAGUGAUCAGGGCACUCCUCCUCCUUCUCCGGCGCGUGGCGGCACUCCACCUCCUUCUCCGCCUACGCCAGCGCGCCCGAGCAGCCUCGCUGCCGCUCCGACUGCUCCAUCUGCUCCGCCUCGUAAGCAAGGAAAGAAGACAGCCGCAGCCGCUCCGUCUGCUUCAGCAUCUAGCAGUACAGCCAGAGGUGGGAGGCAAUUCAGAUUUGGUCCAUCUCUAAAGCCUCUAGAGAAGUUACCAUACGAGAUGAUCGAGAAGGAAAACGCGGAGAUCUAUCAAGCCCAAGUGAGGGAGUUCUUUGAAACGCAAAGAGCUAAGAAUCAUCCACCUUCGAAGGAGAAGAUAGAUCCGAUGAAAGCAAAGCGCACUAUCGAUGCCCUCAAGAAACCACCAUUGUCUCUGCCGAAAACCAACUAUGAGCGCAUUAUUGAAAGGUCAUAUAUCGAAGCGGAGCGGUCGGAAAGUACUAUCAGUGAUCGAAGGUUAGCAGAACGACGAGCUGGGAAAAAAUUGCCCAGCUCGGCGAACAAGCGAACCAAUCGUGCCCGCCGCUCAAGGUGUCUGGCAAUAUCGUCGCUAAUCAUCCAGUGAUUUUGCCCGGUACCAAUCUUGGACAUUACCUGCCCGACGAUGCACAUUAUGAUACAAUGGAGGUGGACAAACACAAAUACCAGUACGGGAAGCCUCUCGUCAAAGAUGGAAGUCCUCUGACAACGAUGAUGCGAAGAUUCCAUGAUUGGUACAUGAAAACCUGCAGAGAGUCUGGGGGGAAGGAUACUUUGACGCUGAGAGUUAAAGAGGAGCACGACCUCGUUGGAAUUGAACUGUUGUCUGUUCCAUUUGAGGAGUUCUUCCAGUGGUUCAAUCAAAAGGCCCUCGAUAAAUUAACGGUCACUUGCUACUGUCUGUAAGUACUACUUAUGUCAUUAAGUCUCUAUAUAUAGCUCAACUCUUUCAUUGCAUGUAUAUAUAAUUAUCCUCACUAUAUUAUGCAAAUUGAAGAUCGUCGAAUGCAGAAAAGCAAAAGUCUAUGAUAUUGGGUUCAUUAACACAAAUCUCAUAGAUGAAUAUACGGUUAAAUUUCAUGCCAAAGACACCGAUGCCAACUUUCUAGGAUCGUUGCUUCAAAAUCAAAACAAAGAUAAAAUACUCUUUCCUUACAACUUCAAGUGAGUGUUACUGUCUUGUGCAUAUUCGGUUUCCCUUAUUACUCGAGGUUAUAGUAAUGUAAUUGACGAGUUAUGCAUGUGUGCGCAACUUCCACUAUAUUCUCCUAGAGAUUAAGCUUGAGCAGGGACUAGUAACCGUCUUAGACUCGAGACGAAAAUCUCCCGAGGAGUAUGCGGACAUGACUAAAAUGCUCGAGAAGUAAGUUCAAUCGAUCAUUAUCGCACCAUAUCGGAAACUUUGUUCAUUUCCUGAUAUCAAGUAAUUGUUUUCUUUGUCUCGCAGGGUUUGGAAAGUAUUCACCACACAAGCUCCUGGACUGCCGGGGGAGCUGCGAUGGACAUACCCGAAAGUAAGUAGUACUAGCUAUCUAGUUCCACGCAUCUCGAUCCCAUUGAUUCUAGCUACUUUCAUCAAUACCAUUUAUAAUGCUUCAUUAUCAGUUUGAUUGACCUCUAUUUCUCGUAAAGUGCUUGUGGCAGGAACCCAGGAAUGAUUACUGUGGAUACUAUGUUUGCGAGUUCAUCUACAACGCGACUUGCGAAAAAACCGGGGCUACUCUAAAAGACAAUUUGAUGUGCGUAAGCAAUAAUAUUCACAAUUUCAUUUUAUUACCACCAUUUGUGUUGAGUUUCAUCAUAUAUAUGUAUUGACCCCCUUCUUCAAAUUAGAUGUGGCAGAUGUGGGAUGAAUGCUACCUCUUGAGCAUUACGUUGGUUUUCCCUUGAAGAGGAAAGGGUGAUGCAGCAAAGUAGCGUAAGUAUUUCCCUUAGUUUUUGAGAACCAAGGUAUCAAUCCAGUAGGAGACUACACGCAAGUCCCUCGUACCCACACAAACAAAUAAGAACCUCGUAACCAACGUGAUAAAGGGGUUGUCAAUCCCUUCACGGUCACUUACGAGAGUGAGAUCUGAUAGAGAUAAUAAUAAUAAGAUAAAUAUUUUUGGUAUUUUUAUGAUAUAGAUUGAAAGUAAAGAUUGCAAAAUAAAAUAGAUUGGAAACUUAUAUGAUAAAAGAUAGACCCCAGGGCCAUAGGUUUCACUAGUGGUUUCUCUCAAGAUAGCAUAAGUAUUACGGUGGGUGAACAAAUUACUGUCGAGCAAUUGAUAGAAAAGUGCAUAAUUAUGAGAAUAUCUAGGCAUGAUCAUGUAUAUAGGCAUCACGUCCGCGACAAGUAGACCGAAACGAUUCUGCAUCUACUACUAUUACUCCACACAUCGACCGCUAUCCAGCAUGCAUCUAGAGUAUUAAGUUCAUAAGAACAGAGUAACGCAUUAGGCAAGAUGACAUGAUGUAGAGGGAUAAACUCAAGCAAUAUGAUAUAAACCUCAUCUUUUUAUCCUCGAUGGCAACAAUACAAUACGUGCCUUGCUGCCCCUGCUAUCACUGGGAAAGGACACCGCAAGAUUGAACCCAAAGCUAAGAACUUCUCCCAUUGCAAGAAAGAUCAAUCUAGUAGGCCAAACCAAACUGAUAAUUCGAAGAGACCUGCAUAGAUAACCAAUCAUACAUAAAAUAUUUCAGAGAAGAAUCAAAUAUUGUUCAUAGAUAAACUUGAUCAUAAACCCACAAUUCAUCGGAUCUCGACAAACACACCGCAAAAAGAGUUACAUCAAAUAGAUAUCCAAUAAGAUCGAGGAGAGCAUUGUAUUGAGAUCCAAAGAGAGAGGAAGCCAUCUAGCUAAUAACUAUGGACCCGAAGGUCUGUGGUAAACUACUCACACAUCAUCAGAGAGGCUAUGGUGUUGAUGUAGAAGCCCUCUGUGAUCGAUUCCGCCUCCGAUGGAGCUCCGGAAAAGGCCCCAAGAUGGGAUCUCUUGGGUACAGAAGGUUGCAGCGGUGGAAAUAGGGUUUCAUGGUGCUCCUUGGAUGUUUUCGGGGUAUAUGGACAUAUAUAGGAGGAAGAAGUAGGUCGGUGGAGCCACGAGGGGCCCACGAGGGUGGGGGCGUGCCUCCCUGCCUCGUGGCCUCCUCGUUGAUUUCUUGACGUCCACUCCAAGUCCUCUGGAUCACGUUUGUUCCAAAAAUAACUCUCCCGAAGGUUUCAUUCCGUUUGGAUUCCGUUUGAUAUUCCUUUUUUGCGAAACACUGAAAUAGGUAAAAAAACAGCAAUUUGCACUCGGCCUUGGAUUAGUAGGUUAGUCCCAAAAACAAUAUAAAAGUGUAUAAAUAAGCCCAUUAACAUCCAAAACAGAUAAUAUAAUAGCAUGGAACAAUAAAAAAUUAUAGAUACGUUGGAGACGUAUCAAGCAUCCCCAAGCUUAAUUCCUGCUCGUCCUCGAAUAGGUAAAUGAUAAAAAUAGAAUUUUUGAUGUGGAAUGCUACCUAGCGUAAUUCUCAAUGUAAUUUUCUUUAUUGUGGCAUGAAUGUCCAGAUCCGAAAGAUUAAAGAAAAAAGUUUAAUAUUGGCAUAAAAAUAAUGAUACUUCAAGUAUACUAACAAAGCAAUCAUGUCUUCUCAAAAUAACAUGGCUAAAGAAGGUUAUCCCUACAAAAUCAUAUAGUCCGGCUAUGCUCUAUCUUGACCACACAAAAUAUUUAAAUCAUGCACAACCCCGAUGACAAGCCAAGCAAUUGUUUCAUACUUUUGAUGUUCUCAAACUUUUUGAAUCUUCACGCAAUACAUGAGCGUGAGCCAUGGAAAUAGCACUAUAGGUGGAAUAGAAUGGUGGUUGUGGAGAAGACAAAAAGAAGAAGAUAGUCUCACAUCACUUGGCAUAUCAACGGGCUAUGGAGAUGCCCAUCAAUAGAUAUCAAUGUGAGUGAGUAGGGAUUGCCAUGCAAUGGAUGCACUAGAGUUAUAAGUGUAUACAAGAAACUAAGUGGGUGUGCAUCCAACUUGCUUGCUCACAAAGACCUAGGGCAUUUUGAGGAAGCCCAUCAUUGGAAUAUACAAGCCAAGUUCUAUAAUGUAAAAUUCCCACUAGUAUAUGAAAAUGACAAUAUAGGAGACUCUCUAUCAUGAAGAACAUGGUGCUACUUUGAAGCAAAAGUGUGGUAAAAGGAUAGUAACAUUGCCCCUUCUCUCCUUUUCUCUCUUUUUUUAUUUGGGCUUUUUUAUGGCCUCUUUUUCUUUCCUUUUUUAUUUUAUUUUUCGUCCGGAGUCUCAUCCCGACUUGUGGGGGGAUCAUAGUCUCCAUCAUCCUUUCCUCACUUGGAACAAUGCUCUAAUAAUGAUGAUCAUCACACUUUUAUUUACUUACAACUCAAAAAUUACAACUCAAUUCUUAGAACAAAAUAUAACUCUAUGUGAAUGCCUCCGGCGAUGUAGCAGGAUGUGCAAUGACUCAUGAGCAACAUGUAUGAACGGUGGCUUUGCCACAAAUACGAUGUCAACUACAUGAUCAUGCAAAGCAAUAUGGCAAUGAUGUAACGUGUCAUAACAAACGGAACGGUGGUAAGUUGCAUGGCAAUAUACCUCGGAAUGGCUAUGGAAAUGCCAUAAUAGGUAGGUAUGGUGGCUGUUUUUGAGGAAGGUAUAUGGUGGGUUUAUGGUACCGGCGAAAAUUACGCGGUACUAGAGAGGCUAGUAAUGGUGGAAGGGUGAGAGUGCGUAUAAUCCAUGGACUCAACAUUAGUCAUAAAGAACUCACACACUUAUUGCAAAAAUCUAUUAGUCAUCGAAACAAAGUACUACGCGCAUGCUCCUAGGGGGAUAGAUUGGUAGGAAAAUACCAUCGCUCGUCCCCGACUGCCACUCAUAAGGAAGACAAUCAAUAAAUAAAUCAUGCUCCGACUUCAUCACAUAACGGUUCACCAUACGUGCAUGCUACGGGAAUCACAAACUUUAGGACAAGUAUUUCUCAAAUUCACAACUACUCAACUAGCAUGACUCUAAUAUCACCAUCUUCAUAUCUCAAAACAAUCAUCAAGUAUCAAACUUCUCAUAGUAUUCAAUACAUUUUUUAUGAUAGUUUUUAUUAUACCCAUCUUGGAUGCCUAUCAUAUUAGGACUAAUUUUAUAACCAAGGCAAAUUACCAUGCUAUUCUAAAAGACUCUCAAAAUAAUAUAAGUGAACCAUGAUAGAUCAAUAAUUUCUAUAAAAUAAAACCACCACCGUGCUCUAAAAGAUAUAAGUGAAGCACUAGAGCCAAAUUAUCUAGCUCAAAAGAUGUAAGUGAAGCACAUAGAGUAUUCUAAUAAAUUACAAUUCAUGUGCGUCUCUCUCAAAAGGUGUGUACAUCAAGUAUGGUUGUGGAAUUCUAAAAAUCAAAGACUCAAAUCAUACAAGAUGCCCAAGCAAAACACAUAUCAUGUGGUGAAUAAAAAUAUAGCCUCAAGUAAAGUUACCGAUAGAAGAAGACGAAAGAGGGGAUGCCUUCCGGGGCAUCCCCAAGCUUAGGAUUCUGGUUGUCCUUGAAUUUUACCUUGGGGUGCCUUGGGCAUCUCCAAGCUUAGGCUCUUGCCACUCCUUAUUCCAUAAUCCAUCAAAUCUUUACCCAAAACUUGAAAACUUCACAACACAAAACUUAAACAGAAAAUCUCAUGAGCUCCGUUAGUAUAAGAAAACAAACCACCACUUAAGGUACUGUAAUGAACUCAUUAUUUAUAUAUAUUGGUGUUAAACCUACUUUAUUCAAACUUCUCUAUGGCUCAUAACCUCCGAUACUAGCCAUAGAUUCAUCAAAAUAAGCAAACAACACACGAAAAACAGAAUCUGUCAAAAACAGAACAGUCUGUAGUAAUCUGUAGGUUUCGAAUACUUCUGUAAUCCAAAAAAUUCUAAAAUAAAUUUCUGGACGUGAGGAAUUUUGUAUUAAUCAUCUUAAAAAAGAAUCAACCUAAUCGCACUCUCCAGUAAAAAAUGGCAGCAAAUCUCGUGAGCGCUAAAGUUUCUUUACAGCAAGAUCGCUAAAACUCCCCCCAAGUCUUCCCAAAGGUUCUACUUGGCACAAACACUAAUUGAAAGCAUAAAACCACAUCUAAACAGAGGAUAGAUGAAUUAUUUAUUACUAAACAGAAUCAAAAAGCAAGAAACAAAAAUAAAAUUGGGUUGCCUCCCAACAAGCGCUAUCAUUUAACGCCCCUAGCUAGGCAUAAAAGCAAGAAUAGAUCUAAGUAUUGUCAUGAUAAUGAUAAGGUAGAUCGCGAAAACUCAUCUCAUACUCCCUACGUUCAGCAGCAAGCUUUCUUUGUGGCAAGCAAAAGUAAUCAAAAGGUCUAAAUUUAAUGGGACAAAAGUCCCCAAGAUCAAGCUCUCGAGGUAUUGGUUCCUCCUUUGGCCCCUCAUAUUGCACAAUCAAUUCAUCAUUAUAAGCAUUCCUUUGGCAAAAAGUCAUGAGCCUUUGUUCAAGGGAGAAACCCAACCCAUUAUUUUGGAUGGCAAAAUUAUUAUUAAGUUCAGAAAUACUGUCAACAAGAACAUCGGUAGGAACCUUCUUUCUAAGGUUUUCGUUAAAAGCAACAUGAUCUAAGGAUCGUAAGCGCAUUAUGUCUUCUUGAUAAAAAAAGGAUUGCUUCUAUGGGAGGAUGGACGGCGUCCACCCUAUAAUGCGCAAAAAUUUCAUUGGCUUCUUUCACUAUAAAUCUGAACUCAUGAGCUAAAAAGAUAGUAGCUGCUCGCUUAACAGAAGAGUGCUCAAUCUUAGAAAAUUCUAGAAAAAUCCUUUGGAUGCAAGGGUGCAUAUGAAUAAAUUGUCUUUCAAGUUCAGCUAUGAGCAAAGAUAUAGCAGUCGCAAAACUACUAGUUCUAUGGAGAAUAGAUCCUCCCAUAGUAGGUAAAGCACCGACACAAGUAAAGAAAUCUUGAAUAACUCCUUUUACAAUAAUAUUACCAUUACCAACCCGAAACUUUUUAGUGUGUAAAAUAGUAGGUUCUUCAGGAGGAUCAAAAAAAGCAUCAAAGUUUUACAUGUUAUUACCACUAUCCUUAUCAAUGAUAACCUCCCCAAUUUCAGACAUGGUGGCAGCAAGAGGCAAACAAAAAGAGGCGAACGAAAAAGAGGGUGAAUAAAACGGCAAGGGUGAAGUGGGGGAGAAGAAAACGAGAGACAAAUGGCAAAUAAUGUAAUGCGAGGGAUAAGAGUUUAUGAUAGGUACUUGGUAUGUCUUGACUUGUGAGUAGAUCUCCCCGGCAACGGCACCAGAAAUCCUUCUUGCUACCUCUUGAGCAUUGCGUUGGUUUUCCCUUGAAGAGGAAAGGGUGAUGCAGCAAAGUAGCGUAAGUAUUUCCCUCAGUUUUUGAGAACCAAGGUAUCAAUCUAGUAGGAGACUACACGCAAGUCCCUCGUACCUGCACAAACAAAUAAGAACCUCGUAGCCAACGCGAUAAAGGGGUUGUCAAUCCCUUCACGGUCACUUACGAGAGUGAGAUCUGAUAGAUAUAAUAAUAAUAAGAUAAAUAUUUUUGGUAUGUUUAUGAUAUAGAUUGAAAGUAAAGAUUGCAAAAU
rnacentral:lncRNA from 1 species